UAAGGAAUUAAUAGUUAUUUUUUGUUAGAACUAAAAAUUACAAAUUCUAAAAGUACAAAGAUUGAAAAUAACAAAAUUAAAAGUACAAAUACUAUAUUUAUAACUUAAAAAAAGUUACAGGAUCUAAUAAUAGAAUUAAACCUAACUUUAUUAUCUAUAGCCAUAUGAAAACCAAAGAGAGAAACAAAAAGGAAAAAACAGAUGAACGGAUAGUUUCUGUUCUAUUUUGACAGGAACAAAGCAUCAAUUAUGACAAGAUUAAGUACCAUAAUCUAUCUAACAUAUAAAAGCACUAAUGUCAAAUCUAUAAAUAGUGAAUUAUAAAUAACUGUUUUUUUAUUAUUAUUCAAAAUGUCGGUAAAAAAAAUUUAAGUCACAUUUUUUUUUUUAACUUUUAACUAAAAAUUAGAGAUUGAAAAAACUCGGCUUACAUAUAUUUUCCCUAAUGAGUCUUAAGAACAGCAAUCAUGGAACCCUCCCUCACUUCAUUAAUAGAGAUCUCCCUCACAUUUCCAAACCCACAUGCAUUAUCUUUAUGAAAAAAAGAUGCUUAGUACUACUACUUUACCCCUCCCCCCCAAAUAGUAUAGAGAUUCUACAAUGUUUUGGCUGUUUCCAGAGUUUUUACAAAGAUCGAGUCUAAUAUAGAAUUCCUGGGGUGCCAUUUUCCAUGUCGCAAGGCAACCACCACCUGCUUGGUUAAUGGUUAUUCCAGUUUUAGCCAUUUAUUUCCAAUACCUUACUUUUACUGGAAGUAAAACUUGUAAGUUUUNNNNNNNNNNNNNNNNNNNNNNNNNNNNNNNNNNNNNNNNNNNNNNNNNNNNNNNNNNNNNNNNNNNNNNNNNNNNNNNNNNNNNNNNNNNNNNNNNNNNNNNNNNNNNNNNNNNNNNNNNNNNNNNNNNNNNNNNNNNNNNNNNNNNNNNNNNNNNNNNNNNNNNNNNNNNNNNNNNNNNNNNNNNNNNNNNNNNNNNNNNNNNNNNNNNNNNNNNNNNNNNNNNNNNNNNNNNNNNNNNNNNNNNNNNNNNNNNNNNNNNNNNNNNNNNNNNNNNNNNNNNNNNNNNNNNNNNNNNNNNNNNNNNNNNNNNNNNNNNNNNNNNNNNNNNNNNNNNNNNNNNNNNNNNNNNNNNNNNNNNNNNNNNNNNNNNNNNNNNNNNNNNNNNNNNNNNNNNNNNNNNNNNNNNNNNNNNNNNNNNNNNNNNNNNNNNNNNNNNNNNNNNNNNNNNNNNNNNNNNNNNNNNNNNNNNNNNNNNNNNNNNNNNNNNNNNNNNNNNNAUAAUCAUGUCAGCUCCACCUAAUGGUUGUUUCAUGUAGGUUGCUGCAUUCAGAGCUACAUUAGAGGAGAUAUCUGAGUCUUCUCUUUUAGUGCAUGUGGUGGACAUCAGGUAUAAUGCUUUCUACUAUUUUUAGUUUUUCUCCCUCUUCUCAAAAUUUCAACUAUGUUUCCUGUCAAUUUCAGCCAUCCCCUAGCAGAGCAGCAGAUAGAUGCUGUGGAAAAAGUUCUAGCAGAGCUAGAUGUGUCAGAAAUUCCAAAAUUAAUGGUCUGGAACAAGGUAAUGGAGAUAUUCUCUAUCUCUAAGAUACUAAGAAUUGAAACAUGCAUAACGAACAAUUUGACCCUUUUCCUCACAGCUUAUUGUACUUGUGAUUUUUCUAACUUUAUAUAUGCUCAAUAUUCAAUACAUCUGCAUGAAACCUUGCAUUUUUUUUUUUGUUGCUUAAUUGCACAUGGUGCCUGCAGUCUAUCUUGCCUCAGCAUGCUUAUACCAUUUGUUUUUGCAUAGAUUUAUUCUUCCUUUUUAAUUUAAUUUUUUUAGAAUUUAUAAUCUACUUUUACAGGCCGAUUUUGCUUUUAGACACACACUAAAGUAUUCAUAGUGAUUAUAACAUGUAUUAAGUAUUCUGUAUCCUGGUUUAUGAACCAUGCAUCAGAAAGGGAUUAAACUGCUUAUGUUACACAGUCUUGUAUUCCUAAUUGUCAUAGGAGUGGAGCUUAUCUAUAAUGUUGGUGAUAUAUAUAUGCAUGUAUGUAUCAUAUUCUGUGCAUUUUCCCAAAGUUCUGUUAUUGCAACAUGAACUGGACUAUGUAUGGCAGGUCGAUAAAGUUACUGAUCCGGAAAAGAUCAAGUUAGAAGCAGAGAGAAGGGAAGAUAUUGUUUGUAUAUCUGCUUUGACUGGUGAGGGCUUGCUGGAAUUCUGCAAUGCUGUGCAGGAAAAACUAAAGGUAUUUAAUUGAUGUUCCGCUUUCAGUAUCUUUAAAACAUGAAAGUGGUUCAUUCAGUGAAAUUCUGGAUCUGGACUGUGUUUUACUAGUGAGUUAUGUUCUUUUUUAAUAGGAUUCCAUGGUUCCGGUGGAAGCUUUAGUCCCAUUUGACAAAGGGGAACUUCUGAGUACCAUACAUCAGGUUGGAAUGGUGGAGAAAACUGUAAGUAUUAGCUAAAUAUUGAACUAAUCUAUUUUCGAGUCAUUAUAAAGAGAGUUAAUAUCGCUGCUGUUUUCUUAUAUGUCUUUUCCCUUCUACAGGAAUAUACCGAAAACGGGACAUUUGUCAAGGCAUUUGUCCCUCUUCGUUUUGCUAGGCUGCUUACCCCAAUGAGGCAACUGUGUAAAUCAUAACUUUCAACUCUCUUGAAUGUAACCUUUCAAUAGUUUGUAUUAAAUUCGAUGAGUUUUCAAGAGCAAGAGGGCGAUUUGGGAGGACAGCAGCAGCACAUUUUUCAGUACAGCAUUGCCCCAAUACCAGUGUAUAUAGAAUACCCAGCUCCGUUGUCAUUAAAUAUGUAAUAGACGUUGAACUUGACAACAACGAAUGUCGGUUUUCUGUGUAAAUUUGAUGUGCUAGAUUAUAAGACCCCAAGGCACUAGCGUGACUAGAUCGUCAGAUAUUGAAUAAAACAGGGGUUCAUACUUCAUACUGACAUCGUACUUUGUUUUGCAAUGAGACGUGAAACUGCUAGUUGAAGGAAAAGCCAGCAUCUAACUUUGAUUUGCUACCAUGAAGUAGAUGAAUCUGAAAGCUAAAGUAGCUCGGUAGCAGGUUAACCACUCGAAUUUGUGAAAGGGUCAACUCUGUCGUCAUCUUUACUCUUUGAAAUUCUUUGUCCCUUUUAUGUAGUUACUAAUGUCUUUCAACCACUUUUGCAGAUAACGCGGAAAGAAAUAAUUAGUAUUAGGGUAAAUUAAACUAAAAUUUUUUAAAUUAUUAGUAAGUUUAUAAUUUCACCAUUCAAUUUUAAAAAUUUUGAAAAUAGUUAUUAAGUCAUUAGGCUAUUAAAAUUAAUGUUGUAUAGUUUUUGUUUUUUUUUUAUUGUUUGCACUAAUUGAAAGUUUUUUUUUUCUCUUUUUCUUUUUUAAUUCAGUUUUUUUAAUGAAAUAGUUAUAUUAACUUGGAUCUAAGGUAUGCUUUUGUAUUUGUUGAUGAAUAUUGAUUUACUACAACGAUUAUCAAAUUGUUGCUUGGAGUUUACGAGCUGAAUUUAAAAAAAAUGUUAAUGGUCUAGUAACUUAAAUGAAAAACUUUUGAAUAGUUUAGUGAUUUAAAUGAAAAUUUUCGAAUAGCUCAAUGUCUAUUUUGUAAUCUUUUGAAGUUGAGUGACCAAAAUGUAAACUUACUAAUAGUUUAGUGAUUUUGAGUGUAAUUUAGUCUUAGCAUUAAUAUACUAUUUGGAUUUGAAUUUAACUUUAAUGUUUAUUUUGUUGCUUGAGGUUUUUUCUUUUCAAUUUGGCAUGAGUUUGACUUUAAUAUUUAAUUUAAUAUCUAGAAUAAAUGACAUCAUAUGGCUUAAUGAAUACUUAACAUGUUCAUAUGUUAAAGAUGAUGCCAGCCUCAAAAAUGGAAAAAUUUUUUAUUUAGUCUCUUUAGAAAUAAUGAAACUAUAAGUUAACUCAUAAUGAAAUUGCACUCCCCCAAAUUAAAAAAAAAUCUAUUUUGUCUUUCAAAAAUUAUGAAAUUAUAAAUUAAUACGUAAUAAAUUUACACAUUAACCCCUCAAAAAAUUUAUAAUUCAAUCCAAUCUCCCUUAAAAAGUUCUAACUUUAUCCCAGACAUGUAUGCUCUAGUAAAAAUACAUAGAUAAUUAAAAAAAAUCUCAAAAACUUAAAAUAAUAAUCUCAACAUAAUAGACAUAUUCAAAUGCAUUAAAAUUUAUACAAUACAUUAAUCACACCGCUGAUUUAAUGACAAACUUAUAAAAAUUUCACGUUAAUUGACAUGAGGUAUAAGAUUGGAUUACUUUGUUAGUAAACCCUUACCUAUGGUGACGUAAUUAUUUGCUCUUAUAUAUAAAAGAAAUUUAUACAAUACAAAGUCAAAACUAACAUGUAAACUAUCCAUCUUUGGGUUGUUUCUUUCUAGGCUAAUGCUAAAUGUAGCGUUCAAUUUUCAUUUACAUUGAGAUGAGAUUUGGGUUUUGGGAAGGAGCGACUAAAUUAAUCCUUACUAUAAUAUGCUAUGAAGCGUAAGGAGCAGGUAAACCAGAAGCACUGCACGAAAAUAAGCGUGGAGACAAGUUGACGCAGUCUUGGCUAUCAGUAUUACUAUUAGGUGCUUUUUCCGGGAAGAUUUGCCGAGUGGAGCAGUUGAUUUAAUUGUUACAACCAUUAUAAAUUCCAUUGCCAACCAAUGACCGUUUAUCGCUAACACUUAUUUCAAAUCAUCAAUGGCGUAUUUGAAAGUAGCUUUAGGCUUCCUAGUAACAGCUUUCCUGUCAGCCACAGUUUCUCUGGCUCACCCUGGUUUGGGUUUCGGCUGGGGAGGUGUUGGUGCGCCAGGUGGUCAAUCUGGUGCACCUUCAUAUGGCCUUUUCCCACAGUUCUAUCAGUUUUCAUGCCCUCAAGCUGAGGACAUCGUCAUUUCAGUUCUAGAGAUGGCCAUAGCAAAAGAGCCUAGGAUGGCUGCCUCUUUGCUAAGGCUUCAUUUCCACGAUUGUUUCGUGCAGGUUACUUGCUUCUUCCACUUUUUCAUUUAAUGCAGACGCAAACAAUUGCUUAAAUAACUUGGUUCGAUUUCGUUACUGUAACUCGUAAAAGUAUAUAAAGUUUCCACCCUCUUUUUCAUCUGAUAGGGCUGUGAUGCAUCCAUAUUGUUGGACAACAGUGCGACCAUCGUUAGUGAAAAGAAUUCACUACCAAACAGGAACUCCGUUAGAGGCUUUGAAGUGAUUGAUGAGAUCAAAGCUAAACUAGAAGAAGCAUGUCCCCAAACUGUUUCUUGUGCUGACAUACUCGCAAUGGCUGCUCGUGGUUCCACUGUCUUGGUAAGCAUAAAGCAUGCAAAAAAAGCUCCACGGUACUCGUAAGGCCAAUUCAGCAUUACAUUUUUUUUGCUAACCACAAUUAACGCCAUAACAGAGCGGCGGACCAUCUUGGGAGCUUCCACUUGGAAGAAGGGAUUCAAAGACAGCGAGCCUCAGCACUUCAAACAACAACAUCCCACCACCAAACUCCACUCUUCAGAACCUCAUAACACUUUUCCAACGUCAAGGUCUUGAUGAAGUAGACCUCGUUGCUCUCUCAGGUCAACCCAUUGUCCCACGUUUUCAGUCAGACCAUAACAUAAUUAAAAACCGUCUUUGACCUUAUAAUGGCUUACUCAUUUUGAACAUGUACUAAUGUUUCAGGAGGACAUACCAUUGGUGUAGCCAGGUGUGCGACCUUCAAGCAGAGACUCUACAACCAAAACGGAAACAACCUGCCAGACCAAACACUAGAAAGAACCUACUACUAUGGCUUGAAAUCUGUGUGUCCCAAGUCUGGCGGUGACAACAACAUUUCACCUUUGGAUUUCGGGUCCCCUGUAAAAUUCGACAACCUUUAUUUCAAGCUUAUUUUGUGGGGAAAAGGACUGCUCAAUUCGGAUGAAGUGCUUUUGACAGGGAAUGUUGGAAAUACAAUGGAGUUGGUCAAAGCUUACGCAAAGGAUGAGAAUCUCUUCUUUAAACAAUUUGCCAAGUCCAUGAUUAAGAUGGGCAACAUUAGUCCUCUAACUGCUUUUAAUGGGGAAGUAAGGAAGAAUUGUCGCUUAGUUAACUAGAAUAUGAAUUAUGGUAUCUGGUGAGUCAUGUCUGACAGCAAAUUAUGUUGUUUUGCAAUGGUAAGCGUUGUUGAGUAACAUCCCUUAAUUUCAUUUAGAAAUAAGGGGGAAAAUGUUGUUGAGGAUGUAAGGUUUUUAAUGUUUAACGAAUGAAUCUGUAAUGACCCAAAAUUCACAGGCACCGGAAAAAGUACAUUAUCGGGCCUCCGUCUUAGUAAAUCGAGUUCGAAAUAAUUACUAGAAAUAUUUAUGAGUCUAGCGAUGUGUUUAAUUAGGUUUAAAUUAGUUGAAUUUAGCUUAAUUUAGAGUAAUUAGUAAAAAUGACUAAAUUGAAUAAAGGGCAAAGGUUUAAUUAUAGAUCAAUAAAAAAUAAAAAGGACCAAACUAGUAAUUUUACCAAUUAGCAUAGAUGAGGCGGCAUAAACUGUAAAAAAAUCUAAGGCUUUUCUUAGAUAUUUGUUAUUGAUUGAUUAAAUUAAAUUAUAAUAUAUUAUUAGCAACUAAAACAAAUAAAAGAAAGAAAAUAAGUAAAGAGCAAAGAAAAGAAACAGAAUAGGCAAACAAAAAGCAGGGGAAGGAAAGAAAGAAAGAAGAAAGAAAAGAAAAAGGGAGAAUUAGGGUUUGAAGGUUUGAAAGUUUAAUAGGUAAGUUAAUUUAGCCCUUUUUAUUUAAUUUUAAUGUUUUAAAAGCUUUAGAACAAAGUUUUGAUGAAAUUAAAUUAAUAUUUUGAAAGUUAUUAGAAUUCUAAAUAUUGUUCAUGUUGAAUAAAAAAAAUGAAAUAGGGGUUUAAUUGAAUGAAAUUCAAGUUAAAAUAGAUAUAAGGAUCGAAUUGCAAAGUAAGCUAUAAGUUUUGUGUUUUAGGGACUAAAUUGAGGAAAAUUUCGGAAUUAAGAAAAUAUGUUGAAAAUUUAAUAGUUAAAUUUGAGUUUAAAUGAAAUUUGAAUAGACAUAAGGUGUGAAUUGGUGUUAUAAAUUUGGUUAUUAACAUUUUACAUCAAAACAGUUUUGGGAAGUAGCAAUGGUCUGACUUUGAAAAUUCACUAAAAAUUGUAUAAAUUGAACUAGAGGAUGAAAAAAAUAUGUAAUUAAAGCUUAUUGAGUCUAGUUUCUUAUAGUAUAAAUAUUGUAAGCAAUGAAUUGAUGAAUCAAGAGAUAUUUGAAAUUUUGUAAGACUGGUUUGGGGUGAUUUCGAGAUGCCCUGUUUUAACUUUGGAAAAUCAUUAUAAAUUGUACAAAAAUUAUUAUGGAGUGUAAUUUAUAUGUGUGAACUCCUUAAUGAAUCUAGUUUCAAAAUAAGUAAACAAGAACCUUAUUCGAGUUCUGUACAAUGAGAUAAUUUAUUUUUAGUAGAGAGAGGUCAGAACUGUCAAAUGAAAUAACAGGGGAGUAUUUAAUGAAUAAACUGUACUAAUUGGCUAGACCAAAAAUUCUGAAAAUCUUAUGGUGAGAAGAUAUAUGAGUCUAGUUUUAAGAAAAUUUAUGGAUAUUAAUUUGGAGUUUCGUAACUCAAGAUAUAAAUAAUUUAGUAACAAUGACUCAAGUAGACAGCUUAAUGGUGAAAUUGUAUAUAUACAUUAAAAAUGGUUAAAUUUGCAUGUUUAGGCUCAUGGAUUAAAUUGAAUUGUGUUAUAUUGAUGAUUAUAAAUUAUUAUUAUUUUCGUAGUUAACAAAUAACCCAAGACAUCGGUGCACAAAGGAAAGGAGAAAGCUAUCGAGGAUUAAAACGAGAAAUUCACGGUUUGUAUUACUAUAAUUCAAAUUACUUUUUAUUAAAUGCUAUAUAUCAAUUCUAUAUUUAAUAAGUGAAUUAUAAGGUAAGUAUUGAUAUUGGAGUUGAAUGAGAAUUGAAUUGAAUGGUGAAUGUGUAUGUAUAAUUGAAUUGUAAAUUGAUUUGAAUGUGAAAAUUUUAAUUGAAAAGUAAUCUUGGAAUGGAAAUGAAAGUGAAUUGAGAAUUGAAAUACCCUAUUAACUAGUCGGGCUAAGUCGGAUAUAAUUGGCAUGCCAUAGGAUAUGGAAGUGUACGGGAUUUGCCGGCUUUAUCGAUCAGACACUUUAUGUGUCGUAUUUCAGGCACCUCGUGUGUCGUAUCAGGCACCUCGUGUGUCGUUUUAGGCACUUUAUGUGUCGUAUACUGAUCAGGUACUAUGUACCGUUUUAGGCACAAUGUGCCGUACUGGUGUGUUUGGGUUGGAAUUCGUGUAUCCGUUAAAGUCCGAAAUGUUAAUAGGGUGAAUAAUUGAAAUGAGAAGUUCAAAUGAAUUUGAUCGACUGUACUAGUGAAUAUGAAAUAAAUUAAAAUUGUGGACUGAAAAUUUAGAUUGGAAAUGAAAUGCAUGGAUUUAAAAUGAUUGUGGUGAUUAAAACCUGGUAAAUGUGAUUUGUAACUAAAAUUGAAUAAUAGCUAAAGAUUGUUUAUUUAUUGUUAUUUAAUGAUAACUUAAAAAAAAAGAAAAAGAAUUGUUAUUUGAUGCUGAGUUCUUAUUUUAUUUUUUUAAUUGCUAUUGCAAUUUGAAUUAUGGUAAUACCACUGAGUAUGAAAUACUCAGCGUACGGUUGUUUUCGUGCGCAGGUUAAUAGAAGUCUAGUGUCCUGGUCCAGCAUCCGAGUGAUCCUGACUCCAGCAAAUUUUGGGUGAUGUUUUCUUUCUUAAUUGAAAGUGGCAUGUACUAGGUGUUGUAUAAGUUAUAUAGAUGUACUUGUAAAGUUAGUUAUAAGAAUGGUAUACCAUAUUUUGUUAUUAGUUUGAUAAAAUGGUAAAUAUUAUAUUAUAUAAUUUGGUAUAAGUUGGAAUGAAAAAAAAUGAAUGAAAUUAUUAGUUAAUUUGGAUUAAUAUUAUGAAUGUUUAGUUAUUAAAUGACUAUGUUAAUGAAUUGGUUAUGAUUUAGAUAUAUUUAGGUUUAAAUUGUUUUUGAUUGUGCCAUUGGUUUUGGAUUAGUUGGUUUUUGGUUUGAAUUUGCAGGGGGUUUUAUGUAAAAAUUAAGAAGAAAUGCUGUCGAAAUUUUUGUAAAAAAUAUAUAUAUAUUUCCCUGAAUACUCGAACAAGUCCCGUUUCAUUCCACUUUAAUACUUGUGUUGGGCUUCGAAAGUCCAUUAUAGGGACAUAAUUCUUCAAUUAUACUAUGAAUGUUAUAAUAAUUGUAAAAUAUCCAUAAGUUGUCUGAUAUAUCCGGUAAUGCCUCGUAGCCCUGUUCCGGCGACAGUUUGGGGUUAGGGGGUGUUACAGAAUCAAAGUUUAUUAUUAUCAUAAAUUAAGUAGAGUUAUAUCCACUGAAUCUUAAGAUAUUAUUGUUAUCAAUACUGAAGGACGUAAAUUUAAACAUUUUAAAGUAUUUUUUUUUAUCUUAUUUAGGAAUUCUAAUAAGUGCUCAUUCAUACAUUGAGUUAAUUUACAUUUUAGGAUCUGAUCUCACAUGGGGUUAGAAUUUUUCUGAUCCAAUCAAAACUUAAUAAUUAUUUUCACAUUAAGACUUGAAGUAAGUAAUUGUUCUUACAUUGAACCUUAAACUUUUUUUUUUCAAGUUAACUCUUAAACUUAACAAUUGUUUCUUAACUAUGAUUGAAUUUUUUGUCUUUUUUCUCAAAAAAAUAUUAAAAGUUAAUUUGACAAAAAAAACUCAAGUCUCUAUAUGAAAAUAAUUACUAAAUACUGAUUUAAAUAAAAAAAUUUAAACGAAUAAUUGUCUAGGUUUAGGCCUCAAAAUUUCAUUAGAGUUAAGAGGAGUUAGUUUAUUAUAUGGAUCAAGAUUUGGGUUGAAAGCAUCCAGCACACUAGUAGUCGGAUAUUGAUCUAAUAGCCCAAAAAAGCUGGAAAUUACAAAGGGUAAAAUCCCAAAUGAAAGCCCGCAAAAUUUCACGUCCAGCGACAACGAGACUGAGCUGGGCUCGUGCUUUUGGUCGAAUAGCUUCUUCAACCAGUGAAGCAAACAAGCAAAUCGUAGAUCCUCGAAUCGAAACGUGAAUUCUCAAGUAGUUCAGGUAAUUCACUGCUGAUAUUCAUUUGUAGAUCGAGGGCAAAGCAGUAGUAAAUUAGCGAAGCUAAGCAAUAUUUGAAAGAAUGGGUAAGCAACCCAGCGCAUGGAUUACAACCCAGCAGAAAAAGAGAUGGCCACUGAUGAUUCUAUUACUCCUUUCUCUAUCAACGCUCAUGGCCUUCCUCAUCAGAUCCACCUUCGAUUCUUGCAGCAACGGUUCUAGUAACAAUGUCGGCAAUUUCAUCCGAGAAGGACAAGCAGAAGAAAAAGGGGGUACCCACCAUCAAGUUAACCACAAUGACGAAGCACCGACUCCAAAUCCUCUCGAUUUCAUGAAGUCAAAACUCGUUCUCUUAGUCUCUCACGAACUCUCCCUUUCCGGUGGGCCUUUAUUGUUAAUGGAACUUGCAUGUCUGCUAAGAGAAGUUGGCGCUGACGUUGUCUUGGUAACUAACCAGAAACAAACCGAAUCUGAUGACAUCAUUUACAGUUUAGAACAUAAGAUGUUGAAUCGAGGGGUUCAGGUAAUUCUUAAUUUCUUGGUUUCUUUGUUUUCUUCUGUCUUCAAUGCAAAUGUUGUUUCUAAAUUUUAACACAUUGGGUUUUUUCCAACUUUUAUCAAGGUUUUCUCUGCCAAAGGUCAAGAAGCUAUAGAUACUGCUCUAAAGGCUGAUUUGGUAGUUUUGAACACUGCGGUUGCUGGGAAGUGGCUGGAUGCUGUUCUUAAAGAACAUGUUGCUGAUGUUCUUCCAAAGGUUCUCUGGUGGAUUCAUGAAAUGCGAGGACAUUACUUCAAGCUAGAAUAUGUUAAGCACCUCCCUUUAGUUGGAGGUGCCAUGAUUGAUUCACACACCACAGCAAAUUACUGGAAAAACCGGACUCGGGAACGAUUAGGGUAAUGGUUUUUGUACUAUCUGCUAUAAGUUUUAGGAUUUUAUUGUCUGCUAAUGCUAAUAUAUAUGAAGAUUGAAGAGGCUUUGGAGUACGGUUACGAUGCUGGUGGAUGUUAUUGUCAUAUUUGGAUUAUAGGAUUCAGAUACACCUAUUGACUCUAUGAUUUAAAUAUAUGUUUCACCCCUUCUUUUUUUUUUCUUUUUUUUUUUGUUGCUGUUUUUGGUUGUUUGUCUUAAUUGAUACACCUAUUGACUCUAUGAUUUAAAUAUAUGUUUCACCCUUCUUCUUCUUUUUUUUGCUGUUUUUGGUUGUUUGUCUUAAUUUUACAGUUUAUUUUACAGGAUUAAAAUGCCUGAAACAUACGUUGUGCACUUAGGAAACAGCAAGGAACUAAUGGAAGUGGCUGAAAAUAGAGUUGCCAAACUGGUUCUCCGUGAGCAUGUUCGUGAAUCUCUUGGCGUGAAAAAUGAAGAUCUAGUCUUUGCUCUUAUAAAUAGUAUGUAUGCUUUGGAUGUAUUAUAAAUAAAACACAUGCUUACAGUGGAUCCUUAGUGGUUGAAAUCCUAGUUUGAUUUUGUGGUUCAUAGUUAUUGUUGCCUUUCUGAGAAUUGAUUGCAUGGAUGAUUUUAGUAAUACUCCUGCUAGCAGCUUUGGUUCCUUGAGUCAACAGCCUCUUAAUUAUUCCAUGAUUCAGUUUGCAUUGCAGGCCUGGGAAAUUUUUUAUUCUCAAUGAGGUUCCCCACAGGCAUUGUUGCAUGAAUAAAAUUAUUCUUGAUCGGAUUAGGGUUAUAUUUUAGAGCUUUGGUCAAUUGCCAAUUUCUUCCUCCAUUUUCCUUGGUAGCAUAUCUCCUUUUGUUUUUUGUUUGUGUUCUUGCAAACACCUUGUGUUCUUUCACAACUCUGAACGGCUAAAUUAUUGCAGAAUGUUGGAAUAUGUUAUAUAAUUCGAGCCUACUGUACUGGUUUAUCAUCUUUUGAGCACCGAUCCCUGUGCUGUUUCAGGUGUUUCCCGAGGGAAGGGUCAGGACCUAUUUCUACGUUCAUUUCAUGAAAGUUUGAAGUUGAUCCAGGAGAGCAAACUAAAGGUGCCACCAAUUCAUGCGGUGAUAGUGGGAAGUGACAUGAAUGCUCAGACAAAGUUUGAAACAGAGCUGCGUAACUUUGUAUCACAGAAUAAUAUGCAGGGUCGAGUUCACUUUGUUAAUAAAACCCUAACUGUAGCUCCCUAUCUGGCUUCUAUUGAUGUUCUUGUUCAAAAUUCUCAGGUAUUCUCUGGAUAACUAUGUUGUUUAUUAGUGUUGUAAGUAGUACUAAUUGCAGUACCAUCAACUCAUAGUAUAUACUAUAGCUUUCAUUCGUGUUCCAUUUCAUGAAAUAUCUAUCAAGUAUGAUUUGCUUUUGCUUUGCUGGCAAAGCUUACAAGUUGUUGUCACAUUUAGGCCCGGGGAGAGUGUUUUGGAAGGAUAACAAUAGAAGCUAUGGCCUUUCAGCUUCCUGUCCUGGUAUGUCCUGUAAUAUCUAACAGAAAUUCUUCUUCGCAAUCUACCUAUUCUCUAUCUCUUUUCAUUUUAACAAAGCAAUGUAACCACUUUUUUCUUUUUUGGGUGCUAUUGUUGAUUGCAUUUAUUAUUCAGGGCACAGCUGCCGGUGGCACCAUGGAGAUAGUGGUAAACGGGACAACAGGCUUGUUGCAUCCUGCUGGCAAAGAAGGCGUGAUGCCCCUCUCAAAUAACAUCGUGAAACUAGCUACAAAUGUAGAGAAGAGGCUGACGAUGGGGAAGAAAGGAUAUGAAAGGGUGAAAGAGAGAUUUUUAGAGCAUCACAUGUCCGAAAGAAUUGCCAAGGUUCUGAAGGAAAUACUGCUGCACAAGGCAAAGCGCCACUCUGAGUCUUGAAAACUUUGCUUCACUGUUCAGUGCCUUCAUCAUCCGGUACUAAAGUUGCUCUCUGCUGUUUUUGUCAGGCAUCUGAUGAAUAAUAAACUUGAGGGUAAAAUCUAUUUGUAUAUUAUGUAGCAAGUGGGGGGAAAACUGUAGAUAAUCAUGUUAUGAUACCCAUUUUUCAUUCUUUUUUACGUUUAAAUUUAUUCUUUUAUACGUAAAUCUAGAGACAGAAAAAUUGUGAUUCUUAAAUUGGUUGGAUUCAAGAUUCCCAGUGCAAUGGUUGAUAUAUUUCCCCUUGAAAUGGUUUAAUUGAGGAUUUAAGUUUAAAGAUUGGAGAUUUUUAGAUUUUGUUUAAGUGCAUCAUCCCAUGUCGCCUAAGCCUUUUCUCUACUUAUGAAUAAAAUGAGUAAUGGGGGAUUAAUUAAGUAUAGUUUCCUCUUCCUUUUUGCAACAAGUUUUCUCUUUUUUACUUCUUUGUAUAACUUUGUUUUUACAAAUAGCAAAUAGGUAAAAUCUAUUUACUAUAAAUUCAAUUUAAAAUUAUAAAAUACUCGUCGCCCAAAAGAAAUAAAUUUAAAUAUACUUAUUUUUAAUACGGUUAAAUUAUGCCAUAUGUUCUUGUAUUCUUUGUAAAUUUGGGAUUUAGUCUCUUUAUUCUUUUUUCGUAAUUUAAUCUCUCUACUUUUCAAAAUUUAAAGUUUAGGUCAAAUUAUUGAAACUAAAAUUAUUUUGUUAAAUUCAGGUUUAUUGCAACAUCAUUUUCUUAGUUACAUUGCUAUCAAGUAAGAAUUUUUUAUUUAUUUCAAAAUGUCAUACCAAUCAAUUUAAUAAAAAAAGUUAAUAUUCUUAACAAUUAAACUUAAAUUGUAAAAUUUAAAAAGUAAAUAGACUAAAUCGAACUAAAUUCCAAAUUUAUAAAUAGUUUAGGCAUAUUUUAACCUUAUAAAAUCUAAAAGGGCAAUUUUAGCCCAGGCCGCUUUCAGAAUACAUAUAUAUGCAUACCUGGCAGAGUUUACAAAAUACAAAUAGCCCCAAUCUUGCACAACCCCUUGCUCAAGGAACCUUGGGAAAGCCCAGACACCAAGCUUUCUUCAAAGUCGGACCAUUUCGAUCAUAGAUUGUGACAAUGAGCGACGGAGAAGACGCUGUACGACGCCGUAAUGCUAUUGCGGAGUACCGGAAGAAACUGCUUCAACACAAAGAGUAUGAAUCAAGAGUUCGAGCAGGUAUUCCCCACCUCUUCCCAUAAUCCUCACCCUCUUACCCCUAAUUGGGGUCACUUUUCUCUUUUCCUCGUUUUGCAUUUAAAUUAUUGUUUUUUUUUUUGCGGUUUGCCCAUUUACGAUUUAGGAUUUAGGGUUUUGCUUCCACUAUCGGUUAUAUCAGCUGCUUCGUUGUUUUACAAAUAUUUCUGCUUCGGAAGUUAGAUCCUUUUUUCCUGUUAAUUGUAGAGGCAGCUUGAGUAGGUAAAAUUUGGCGAGAAAGUCUUAAGCCUUGGUUGCUGCGAUAGAUAACUUCUUUGUUUUCAACUGAAAUUUUGUUUUUCAAUGUCUUCGACUUGGGUUGACGAUUGGAUCUUGUUUAUGUUGUUGAUGAAGUUGAAAUUUUGGCUUUCUGGUAAAAUAAAGUAGUUAAGAAGAAACAAAAGAAAAGGAUGUUUGUAGCUUUGGCUACAGCUUGUUGCAUUAGUUGUUUGAAGACCAAAUCUUUAUCUUUCUUCUUAAUAUAGUGCAUACCUAACAUAGUUUUUGACUUGCUAUUUCGCUCUUGAAUGUUAAGGUAGGGAGAAUUUGAGAGCUGCGAAGAAGGAGUUUAACAAAACAGAAGAUGAUUUAAAGUCUCUUCAGAGUGUUGGACAGAUCAUUGGAGAAGUUCUCAGGCCUCUUGAUAAUGAACGCUGUAACUACUAUUUAUCCCCUCCCUCUUUUUAAUAUAAAGUUCGUUUUUGUGUUCUUAUUUGUAAAAUUGCUUAGUCUGACAUCUGCAUAGUCGCAUUUGAAGUUUUGGCUGUUUAUUGGUUCAUUUUGUUUUAGAAUAUAUUGUAACUAUAAAUUUGGAUGUCUAUAUGACAUUUCAGUGAUCGUUAAAGCAAGCAGUGGCCCUCGCUAUGUGGUUGGUUGCCGCAGCAAAGUUGAUAAGGAGAAGCUAACUUCGGGAACUAGAGUAGUUCUUGAUAUGACAACACUGACAAUAAUGCGGGCUCUUCCACGUGAGGUAUUACCAUACUAACUAGUUCAUUUUUAUAUAUGAUAUAAAAGCAAGUUUUCUCUGCAGAUAUUUCAAAGCCCAGUACAUCUUUUGAUGACAGGUUGAUCCAGUUGUUUACAACAUGCUGCAUGAAGAUCCUGGUAAUGUUAGCUACUCAGCUGUCGGUGGUUUAUCUGAUCAAAUUCGAGAGCUAAGGGAAUCUAUUGAGCUCCCUCUCAUGAAUCCUGAGCUUUUCCUUAGAGUUGGGAUCAAACCUCCCAAGGUGAUUAUUACUUCCAGUUUUCCUCUCUCUGCCAAUUCCUGAAUUUCAAUGGGUGUGCUUUUGUAUAUGUUGAUGGUUGAAGCAUGCUACAGUGGAGUGAUAUAUGGUUGACAAUCCUGAAAUUUCUUGUCUCCCUUGCAGGGUGUGCUCCUCUAUGGACCUCCUGGUACAGGCAAGACAUUGCUAGCUAGAGCAAUAGCAAGUAAUAUUGAUGCUAACUUCUUAAAGGUUAGUAUUUUUGAAUCUAUGUCUUACCUUUGUGGUUUUCUCAUCCCGUCCUUGAAUGAAUGAAUCUAACUUUUUCUCAUCUGAGACCAGGUCGUUUCAAGUGCAAUAAUUGACAAAUACAUUGGAGAAAGUGCAAGAUUGAUACGAGAAAUGUUUGGAUAUGCACGUGAUCACCAAGUGAGAACCUGGAGUUAUGAAUGUUUGCUUUUGUGCUUCUUUGUAUCCAUUAAUGCCAUUCUUAUAUUUGCUUCUUUGUGUUCAGCCUUGCAUCAUCUUUAUGGAUGAGAUUGAUGCCAUUGGUGGACGCCGUUUCAGUGAGGGAACGAGUGCUGAUCGUGAAAUACAGAGAACGUUGAUGGAGUUACUUAAUCAGCUUGACGGAUUUGAUCAGCUUGGGAAGGUACAUAAUUUGGUCAUGAGCAUGGUACAAGUUGUGAUUUGAACAGAUAUUCUAUAUGCUAUAGUUUGUAAUCUUAUAUUUUGAAUGCUUUCCUCACAAAGUGGCUAAAAGGGGGGGGGGGGAGUGUUCUGGUAUCGUGUCUCUGUAAACUUCCAAGUGCCUGCAUAUUCCACUCUAGUACUGCAGGAUCAUAACUUCUUCUUUAUGGUCCUUGAAAAACAGAUCUACUUAUUAACAUCUACAAGUGCAUGCAUGGUGGAUUUAAUUAUAUAUAUUUUUAUUUUAUUGCGUUUAUUGUUUGGAGCUGAAAGUUCUCUCAAUGCACCCCUAAUUGCUCCCCGGUACAUUGGUUUGUUUCUAUGUUCCCGAAAUCAUUAUUGAACUUAAAUUGUUUCGUGUAGGUUAAAAUGAUCAUGGCCACAAACAGACCUGAUGUUUUAGAUCCUGCACUUCUUCGUCCUGGGCGGCUAGACCGAAAGAUAGAGAUUCCAUUGCCAAAUGAGCAAUCAAGAAUGGAGAUCCUCAAGAUUCAUGCUGCUGGCAUUGCCAAGCAUGGUGAAAUCGAUUAUGAGGCUGUUGUUAAACUUGCUGAGGUUAGUCAAAGGUGUGGCUUGUUUCUGUUUCAUGUCUGUAAUACUCAUCACUAAGAUUGUUUUUCGUCCUUAUUACUUUAGGGCUUUAAUGGUGCUGAUCUACGAAAUGUUUGCACGGAGGCUGGAAUGUCAGCAAUCCGUGCAGAGCGUGAUUAUGUCAUCCAUGAAGAUUUCAUGAAGGUAUAUAUAACCAUGAAACUUGAAAGAAUGCGUUUUCAUUUGUGGCUUAUGUGCACUAGUCUAGAACUCUGUGGAAUGGAGAAUUUUCCAAUUCCCAGUAUACUGGCGUUAUGAAAAAUUGGACAACUGCUUAUGUCAAUGAUGGGCUUUCUUCUAUUUGGUUAAAUUGCAGGCAGUAAGAAAAUUGAACGAAGCUAAGAAACUGGAAUCAAGUGCACAUUACAGUGCCGAUUUUGGGAAAGACUAGAGGUUUUCUGUUGGACAGUGCAUUAUAAUGUUGUCAUAAUUACAGCACUCUAGUCAUAUUUGUAUCAUGGACCCCUUCUGCAUGUUUCUGCAUGUUUCAGGAAAUUGACUUAUUUUCAUUCUGGAGUGAUUUAGUUUGGGCUCUUAAAUGAAUUUAUAUUUCAAUCUCAAAAUUUUCAACCACCACCAGUCUCUUUAUUAUUGACAGUUGCGGGUUUCAAGAUGAAAUGGUGGGUUCUUUUCGUACAUAAAGUUAGGUCGUUGCAUUGAUUAUUCUAUGAUUAUGCUAUCCACAACCAACUUAUGGUGCAUGUGGUUUUUUUAACUUCAAUCCGCAUUUAUGUAGUUUUUCCUUCUCUGGUAUACUAAGGAAAACUUUCCUUGAUGGUACAGAUUGAUGAAUGAAUCAAACAAAAUGUGCAUAUUGUUCACAAGUAAAAAAAGCCCAUCAAAUUUACAAGUACAACCGAAUAAUUCAUGAUUUGAUUUUUUUUUUUUUAAGUCUUACGUAGAAUCCUGUAUGUUUACGCAGUAUAUUUCAAUUUUCAACCCUUAAUAAACUAUCAGCUGUGUGGAUACUUGAAGUGAAUAAGAUACUGAAUAUUUUAUGCAGCCUAGUUCACUAGUAUGUAACACAGCUUCAGUCCAAUUUUCCAGGCAUGCCCACCUGCUUCCUUCUUUUAGUAAGCAUGUACUUCACCAUCUUUACAAUCUUGUAGAACCAGAAAGUACUCACUAACUGAAGUCCUACAGCCAUUGCCUUGAGUAACAACACGGAUACGAGUUGUCCAUUUCUUGAUAUUAAUUUAUCUAUUUAUAUAAUAGAGUUGGGAAGAAGGGGGUAAGUCGCAAGUAAUACCUUGAUAAGUAGUGGGUUAUUAGCUGUCAGAGUAACGAAAGUCAGAUAAGGUCCACCCACCAUCCUUGCUACUGAGAAUAUUACAGCAAAUAGGACCUGUUCAAGUAAACAAUAACGUACAUGACUACACAAAUAUAUUUUAAUACAAUUUGAAAACCUCACAGAACAUAAUUAAAUGAUAGCUGCAGGCAUCACGAGGAAAUUGGAAACUAACAUCAGCUGCUAAAUUGAGAUCGGUGUCCCUGUAACCGAAUUCUUUAAGCAGUUCCCUGGCGUGGAGUAAAGGACUUGAGAUCUCCGUUAUGAAUAUGGCAGCAACUUGUUCUGAUCCACACUGCAUCAUAACUAAAUCUAAUCACGUACAAAGGAUGCAUGGGCUAACACAGAUUACUCCUGUAAAACCAUGCCCAAAGAAAAUCCGCCCAAGGGGGAAAAAACAAACAUAAAGGUGAAUACCAAUUGAAAGGCAAGGCCAGCUGCAAGACCAACGAUGCUGACCAAGUGAUGAACUGUGUUGUCAAGAGUGAAUUUGACGUCAAAGAGGCAGCAGAUGAGGUCAUAUAUAAGAUAAGCUACGGUAACAGCCAAAACUUGCCUCUGUCAGCCAUUCACAAUAUUAAUUCCUUCCACCAUUAUGUUUAAGCUCUGCUAUAAAUAAACAAAAGGAAAAGACAUGAACAAGUUGCUUUUGCUUGGUACAUACCUGCUUAGGCGUAGAAGCCGAAGCCAAAGGACAAACAGGGCAGCUCCAAUCUUCAACAGAGAGCGAGGCUAAAAUCACAGCCAAAAUCCCAUGGAUUGUAGAAACAAUGCGGUUGCAAAGUUCAAAGGAGCGGUCGGAGAUGAUUUUUCGGACAAGUAGAAAAACUGUCGUCCAUGAGAUCACUCCCAACACAAUCAAAUUCACAAUAUCGUAUUCCUCCCCCAUGUUCAAAUCUCAAAGCUAAUAACCCAACAAAGCUGAAUAAUGAAGCCAAAGAAAGCUUUUUGAAAACCUGAGUCAAUAAAGAACCCAAGCCCCAAGGAUAGAUGCAAAAUGAAUUGGACCAAUCUCUGAUCUGUUCUAAUUUAUAUUGAAAGCGGAAGGGAAGUUAACAGUCACCAACCGUUUCUCUCCAUUUAAAUGCCAUAAAUGAUGCCAGUACUUUCCGAGUGAACAUUGACUAGCUCAUGGCAUCUUCUGGGUUUUAGUUGGCAGAACAUCCCAAACUCUAUUUGGUUUAUAGCUUAAUAAUUUAUACAUAUGGUUCAAAGUGAACAUCAUUUGGUUCGAAUAUUCCGAUUUUUAUAUUUAUUUUAGGGGAUAAUCAUUUAAUAUCUUUUGACUUAUAAAAAGGAAAAAAGAAAACUUAAGAAAUAGUUUUCGUAAGACCGUAUAAGUCAUCAUCAAAACAACAUUAAUGAUCAACUAAUGGCAAUAAUUUGUGUAGGAUUAAGUGUAUGACUCAUUUCUUCUCUCUUCGUAAUAACAUUAUCAGCAGAUAAGAAAUAAACACCUUUAUUUUUCGGAAUUAAGGUCAAACUUAUUAAAUCAACAACAUCUCUCUCUAAAUAAAUGAAAAUGAGACCUAAGUCAAGAUAAAUAGGAUACUAGUGAAACUUUUUUGUAAGAUAGACGAUGCAAUGUGUUCUUAGACAGGGCAUAGGUUAAUGAUUUCGAACUUUGAAAUUUGAAUUUUAGAUUUUUUUAUUUUAUGAAUUGAUAUUAAUUUUAAAUUAUUUAAAUUCAUAUCACAUCAUUAUAAUCUAUUGUACACUAGUUAAUAUUCGAUAUAUAAAUUUUAAUUUUUUUUAUAAUAUAGAUACACUGAUGUUAUCAAAUUAUAUAUCAUUAAUAAAUCAAAUAUAAAUUUAAAAAAUAUAAUAAUUAAGAAGAGUGAGAAAUUUUGGUCAAUUUUGUAAAGCUAAAUUAAAGGUGUUUUGUAUAUUUAAAGUAAAAUCUUAACUAGCAUUCCAUGCCAUUUUCAUGAAUUGUACAUAAUUAAAUACCCCAAUUGUAUUAGCUAUUCCCUACUUUCACCAAACAAAAGUUUAAAUUAUAAAUUAGUCUCAAAAAUAAAAUAAAAAGUCUAAUUUAGGCUUCGCAAGAAGAUAAUCGAAAAGAUAAAAAUUUUAAAAAGUAAGAGAAAUAAUAUAUAAUUCUUUCCGUUGUGUACUUCAUAAAAAAAAAUUUAAAUAAAUAUUCAUUCAUUGCUUUGUAUAAUUAAAAAUUGAAAAUGUUAAAUAUAUAUAGAGAGAGAGAGUGAGAGAGAGAACCUUAACUUAUAUUUCUCAUAUAUUUUUCUUUUUAACCCUUUUUCCUUUCUGCAAAAUAUUCUUCUCACUUUGUAUUUAGUGAAUCAAUCUUUACUUAAUUAUAACGCCGUAGAAAGCCUUCAAUUUAAUCUAAACUAGACCGUGGCUAAGAAAUUCAAAGCUAUACACUGUACUUUGAAUCCAAGUCUAAGAAAUUUUGCAACUUUGACUGCUGCAGAAGAUAUGUAUUCAUAAAUAUAAGCUUUGGAAUUUACUCUCCUUUUUUCUAUCAUUUUGAAACAUGAGCUAUCCCAAGUUUCUAUGUACAUUUCCGUGGUCACAGUGCGAGAUUUUCCAAGGAUGAAACCAGUGAAACUUCAUUAUUCAUGGAAACUUAUUGAGGUUCAUUGCUUUCACUGUCGAGUAAGAAGAUUAUUUCUUUUCUUCAAUAUCAUGAAUCCGAGGAUGCUUUCUGUCAUGCCUGAAACAAAAUUAAGAAAUUAGAUUAACAAAUAAGCAAAUGAAAGUAUAAUACUGAAAUCAUAAGUGUUGAAGAAGUUGGUUUCUUACUGUGCAGUAACAUUGUGUAAUAAUUUCUUCUAGUCUCCCGGGCGACAGAGUGCUCCAUGAACAAUGAGCCCUUGCUGCCUCUCCUCCAAACUCUCUAUGCGCUCUCUGGUAGCGCGAAUGUUCGCUUCUUUCCUUGCAAGAUCUAUUGUUCUAACACUUCUCAAAAGAAAGUUUAGCAAUCGCUCUUGGAUUUCAUUUUGCAGUUGCCCCAUUUCAGCAGCAAUUGCAAAUAUAUAUCAGUUAGAGGGUGUAUAAUAAAAAAGAAUGAUAUUUGAAAGAGGAGGUUUAAAAGAAAGUAAUUACAAUAUAAGGGGUAUGUUAAAGCUUUAAUUUAAACAAAUUGUUUGAAGGCAGUUAAUGUUAUUCAAGAUGACUAUUUGGGGUAUUAAAUUUAGUAUUGAUUCGACGAAUAUUGGAUAAUUUAGCAUGUCCUUAGGGAGAGAAUUCAAGUUGUUAUCUCAUUUUUUUUAUUUAACAAAAAAUUUAGACAUUACUUAGCAGGCAAUUAUGUUAGUUAUAAGGUUUGAACAUUACAGGUUGUAAUGUAAAGUGAAUUAAAUAAAGAAAAAUUGAAUUGAUUGAGUAUUAGUUUGAUUGAUAUUUCUUUAUUUAAUGAAGAAAUUUUUAAGUUCAACCAACCUAUUUUCAAAAUAAGAAGUGGAUAAAUAAAAAUUGUGGGAGAGACUUUUAUUUAUUCAUCAUUAUAGGCAACACCAUCCUUAUUAUCUCUGAGAUUCGAACUCAAACUCUACUUAUGAUUUUUUAUUUCUAUCUCAUUACUCUUGUUUCAAUUUUAUUUCGUAUUUUAUUUUAGCAUAUCGAUUUUUUUUUUACUUUACAUCCAACCUCUCUCCUUUUUUUCCAUCUAUAUUCUUUUUUUUUUCUUUUUCAUUUUAGGUUCGAAUUACGCCUAUUUUCACAUCUAGGAUUUACAUAUAUAACAUAUAUUACUGUCAAGGGUAAAUUUUUUAUUUCUUAUUAUUGAGCUUAUAAUAUAUAAUAUAUAAUUUAUAUUAGAUGUUAGAAUAUUAAUUCUAUUAUAUAUUUAUCUAAUCUAUUAUAUAUAUUCUAAUAUAUAUUAGUAUUAGAAUUUAUUUAUAUAUUUUAUUUAUAAUAUAUUAAUAUUAUUUUUAUAUUAUUUAUCUAUUUCUAUUUUAUUUAUUUCAUUGGUAUUGUUGUCAAUACAGGAAAAUGUGGGUUUAAAUACGUUGAAGCGCAUUAUACUCCUAUAUAUAUGGAUUAGGGAGGAGCUUUGGUAAUUUUAAGUAUUUUGUAACAGAUUUUACAUUUUUUUUUUGAGAAAAUAAAAUUACAAAACCAAAUUUUCUGACUUGAGAAACACGGCUUAUAUUGUUCCUAUUUAUAGAGCUAGCCAUCAACUUUAUAACAGCUAAAAUAUUAAGCCUUUUAAUUAUUUUAAAUAAGUUUUUAUUUCAAACAAAAGAUUACUAGCUUUAGAUGGUAAUAAAAAUUAAAGCUCAAACAAAAGUUUACUAGGUUUAGAUGCUAAUAAAAAUUAAAGCUCAAUCAAAAGAUUACUAGCUUUAGAUUCUAAUAAAAAUUAAAGCUCAAUAACCUAUUUGAUGUUAAUAAGAUUUAUCGAAUCAGUUUGAGGAUUUUUUAAAAUUAUUUUAACGUUUAGAAUUUGAUAAUUCCACACAUAAUUUGCUUUGUUCCUAACUCCUAACCGCUUCUCUUGGUAUGACAUAUAACACAGUAAACUUGUUUUUAACCUCAUUCUUUUUUACAAUCUACUACUCAGCUAUGAAUAAAAUUAUUGUUUUGAUAAUCAAAUCAUAGAAAAUUAUAAAAUAAUCAUUAAAUCUAUCUAUUCAUAAAGUUUUCAUCAAUCAUCCUUUAAAUGCCAUUAACCACUUGACUGGAGAUAUGACAUAUUUUAUAUAUAGUUAAUAAUUAAUUUGGCUGCUAAAUUAUAGCUAAAAUGUUAAUUUGAUUCUUUUAUAAUUAUAUAAAAAUGAACCCAAAAAAUAUAAAAAUAUCUCUUUUUUUAUAAAAAUCUGAAAAUUAAAAUUUUUAGAAUUAUAAAGGACCAAAUAUUAUAUUUUUAUAACUUUUUGGAUUCCUUGUAAAAGAAUACAAAAAUAUCAUAUUGAUAUUUAAGUAUAGUUUAGGGGUCAAAUUAAGUGUUAACCCUAUAUAUAACAUAUUACAUCAUCAUUUUGCUAAUGGAUUAACAACAGUUAACGGACGGGUGACAAACAGUUGAAUGACCCUUAAUGUAACCUACCCUUCCUUUUUCUACAAAAGGGAGAAAAUUUGAGUUGUCCAAAUUCAAACUCUAGACUUAAUUAAAGUGUAAUCUCGAGUCCAAAAUCAAGUAAUAAAAAUCUAACAUUGAGGGAAGCUCAAUUGGGUUUGGUUACUAAAUUAAAAAAAAAAAAAUCACUUCCUAUAAUUUCAUACUCAAUUAUUUGUACUUGAGCUUAAACAUUUGUUCAAUACUAAUUAAAAUAAUUAUAAUAAAAACACUUCAUCAAGUUCGUAACAAACCGAGCAAAGGAUUAUGAUAGCCGAAUCUCAAAAGCUGAAACUCAUCUCAACAACAACGAUUUAAGUUGAAUUCUAGCAUUUCGAUUCGCAAGAAGAAUAAUUUAUGGGCACAAAUGUGUUGUUUGCACCUUAUUGUAACCAUUUAUCCCAGUAUGCUGCAACAAGUAACUUCGUUUUGUUCUCAACUCUUUAACCAUUCAUCUUAUUUAAGAACGUAAAAAUAAAAUCGAUUAAAUUGUUAAUUCUGAGAAACGAGUUUCUAAUGCAGUAAUGCAGCUUCUUUAUCCUAGUUAUAAAUCCAAAUUACAGAGCAUAAUUGACCAAAUGCUGAAUGCAGCAAUGCGAACCUUAGGUUCUGAAAAUCGAGAAACUAACGGUGCUCUUUUGAAGACAUUAAGGUCCCGCACCCUCCAUAAACUCCACCCGACAGACACAACACGCGACAUGAGCACAAUUUACUGUGUCAUAAAUUACAGCAAAGAAGAGUUAAAAAGGUAAAACACAGUGAAGUUCUUAGUAAGUCACUUUUCCUAAUCAAUUCAAUGCUUCAUUGAGGACAGAUGCCUGAAGGUCUAAGUUCCUCAGUAUCAGUCAUUCGUAAUGGGAUGUAAAACCUACAAAGAACAACCAUACUUGCUAUCCGGAAAUCAAGAAAAAUAACUUUCAUUUCUUGAGAAAUAUGAACUCCCAAACUCCCACCAUCGGAUAUCUUGGUUCCUACUGAAUUCCAAAACUAAGCGUUUAAAUUUGAUCCAACUCAAAGUUCAUCACACUCAUGCCCUACCCACCCCAAAGCAAAUGGGCAAACAGAAGUAAAAGGGCUAGAGUUAUAAGGUGGGUCGUUAUCGGAAAUUUUCUGCCUAUCUUGUUGAUGGUAUUAGCUUGAAAAGGGAAAACCUCUGACUUAAUAAGCUGAGACUAGGUUGCAUUAAACCUUGGAAGCCUGACUCGUACAAACCCUUUGAAGUAAGGGGAACAAACACAUAUUUACUGACAGUAAUGAACUUUCAUGAUGAAACAGACAGGCUCCUCACCUGAUGCCAGUAGAAGAGGGAAUUCAAUCUUUUCGAUAUCUUACCCAAAACCCCUUCUUCCUAGCAGAGUCGUUCUCUGAUAGCAAUCUACCCCACCUAGACCCAAUUGAGAAGUGGCGUUUCAAGAAAGGCUUUGCCAAGGAGCUUCUCCGGCUUGAACUGGGUUCCAACUUUGGAGUUUUUCCUUCUCGUUUGGUGUUUUCUAGGUGUUCAAUAUCACUACAACUACCAUCAACAGAAUUAUCUAUAACUCUAUUCUUUAACAACUUAAGAUAUUUUGCUUUCAACUCUGCUUCAGCUUUUAAAGCUUUUCUGCACAUCUUUGAGACCUGCUUUUCUCCAACCAUACAAAUUGGGCAGGCUGGGUCAAAUCUGUCAGCCUCCGGUGUCAUCAACUCCAAGCAUUCAGCAUGAUAAACAUGUCCACAGACAAGCACAGAAACCACUGAAAUCUCAUUGCUACUCCAUGAGGAUCUCUCAGCUAAAAGCUUCGAGCAAGCACCACAAGUUCGUGCAUCUAUGGAAGGAGAGUAUGAGAAUCUGCUGCUACAUCCACUUAUCUUGCCAUAACCAGAACCUAAGUGUUCGCUGUCAAAAGACCACCUUUCUCUUUGAGAAGAGGCCACAAGCUCUGAAAAUGUGCGCAUGGACCAACCAUCAGAAGAACCACCAUGAGAUCCAACUGUUAAGUCAUUGCUACAUCGGGAAAGGACAAAAGAGGACCUUGCUUCAGACAUUGAAUAAUUAUUUGGCGACUUCAAUCCUAGGAUUCGACUAUCAGAAACCUGCCUCAAUAGCCGUUGCCCAGGUGAACGGUGAGCCCGUCGUGAUGAGGUUGAGUUUGGAGGAAGCAAAUGAGCAUGGCUAGAGAACGUGUCUGUUACUGGUGGUGAGAAAGAUGAAGGCAUGCAAAAUGAAAGCUUUGGUGUAGAUGAAUCAAUGAUAUCGGGCAAUUCUACCAAAUUCUUUAUCUGAAAUAUAAUCAGAAAGGUAUAUUAAACAUCAGUAGAAGAGGCUAGUGUAUUACCCAAAGAUACAGAAAAUAAACAAGCAGAGAAGGCUAUUCAACUAAAGUCAGUAUCAACUAAAUCAAACUUACAUCAACCGAAUAAUUGCUUCCUCUUGAUAUGUCUGCACCAACAACAUAAAACAAUGUCAAACACAACACAAACAUAAUUACAAGAUAGAGGGAACAGACUAGUAGCUAUAUUACUCAAAACAGUAUUGGGAAAAAACGGAUAGAAGUAGACAAUAAGGUAAUGCCUGCAACUUGAAUAUAUAAAAACAUGCUGUUUUAUUUAGAUUCUAACAUGCUACUCUGCACGUUAAAGGUUAGGAAUUAUCAGUCGCCUAGCUGUUAGCAGUAAAUGAGAUAAGAAGACCAUUAGAACCUUUUGCAUUUCCAGACUAGUAGCUAUAAUAAUAACAUAGAACAGAAUUCUAGAAAAAUUUCCUAAACCCCCCAUGUAUAGUCAAGAUGGUGAUACAAAAAGCUAUCCUUUUAGGCUCUUUCAAUUAACAUGUGAUUUACCUGAAGGAGGGGUCAUCAUAUUCCCACCCAUUUCUUCAUGGACUGGUGAUUUUUGAGAGGUGGGUGUUCCAUAGGUCUCAAUCUCAAGAGGACUUCCUUGAUCAGAAAAAUUACCUCUAUCAGAGCCUAAUGUCCCUUUUAUCUCCAUGCUAACAUUUCGGCUAGUUCCAUUAGAUACCUGAUAAGAAGGCUCAUCAAUUUCACCAGCUACACGCCUUCGAUUAUCUCGGCAGAAGCUCCAUGAUGGUGAACACCUCAAAUUUCUAUGCGAAGUCUCACCUCCUGUUCUGUUUGCAAUGGUUCUGUCCCUUGCAGCAACACAACAAGCGGAACCCAUGGUCACACAAAUACCCAAAAGAGAAUUUAUUCCGAAUUUGCAACACCGAUUCAAGCUACGAACUCAAGGCAAAUACCGCAUAGAUGAUAAAAGAGGAUAUUUCCUGUUAAAAAAAAAAAAGCGCAAAGUUUAAACUUCACAAUUAAAAAUUGCAAAGAUCGAUUCAACAGACAGCUUAAACUAACUUAACAAACUUAAAAGAUACUAAAUUUCGUUUUCUAAGAGCAUUUUUUCUGUUUUAUUUCAUUUCUCUCUAAACUCCAAGAUCAAAACCUAGGAUAAAAAUUAUUUGAUAAAAAGAAUCCCAUGAACAUCAGUUUUAAGAAAAAUAAAUAAGCAGUUUAUAAGAGUACAUUACUUGGGAGUAAUAUACAGGUUAUUGUAUAUUCUCAGUUUGAAGUGAUUUUGGAGAUCAAGAACAAAAAUAAAUAAUUUUUUUUUAAUUAUUAAUAGCAGAUAGCAGAGUUGAGUAAAGUAAAACAGUAGCGAAAAUUUCCAGACAGUGGAAAGCAUCUUACUUAAUUAAGCACUAACUGGCUUUCCCCCAAAACAAGAAUAAGAAUAAUGUAAACUAAAACAUUUAAGUAACGAAUAUUUGCAGAAUUAAAUUCUCAAAGUUCACAACUCGAAAGCAUAGUUCUAUUUUAUUUUUUUCACAAAGAAAAAGGCAUAAACUCAAAACAGUAAAAAUAAAGAAUCAUUGGUUCGGAACAUUUACUGUCGUACUAAAAAAAAUCGCUCACAAGUUAUUGAAAAUCCAGGGAAAAAAAUUAAAAGAAGCUCAAAUAAGGGCGCGAAAACGAUAUCCUUUUCUACUCCAUUCUCAGAACUGAUUUCAAGCUUUCAACGUCCCAACAAUAUCAUCCACACAAAAAAAAAUAAUAACAUUAAUUUUCUUUUCUUUUUUUGAAAAAAAGGGAAGAAAACUCACGAAUUGAAUAAUUAGAGAAGCAUGGAGCUGAAGAAAAAAGAGAAAUAAGAGAUUCGAAUGGCGUCGAAUAUUUCAAAACGGCGGUUGGAGAGGAAGACGACGGUCGCGACGGGAACGAGGGAAAAGAAAUUGAUGCGUGAAAAAGAAAGUGAGAGAGUCAAGGGGGAACGUAUGGGGAAUUGUGUCUCGUCUGAAUGUAGUGCUGCUUCUUUUUCCGCUCCCCCUCUCUUUUUUUAGUUUACUUUUCCUUUUUGUUUUCCUUUUCUUAAUUAAUUCUCCUUAAAUUUUAUUUCCCACUAUAAAACGACAAAUAAGAAUUAAUAUAAAUAUGCUGCAGCAUUUUUUUAUUUUUACGGUUACUUUUUUUUUUGUAUAAUUAUAUUUCCAUUAUAUUUUAUAUUUUAAGGUUUUUAUAUAUGUUGGAUAAUACCAAAUUUGGAUUUUCUUAUUCUUUAAUAGUCAGUUAAUUUUUAAAAAAAUAGCUUUUAGCUAGAAUUAUAGUCACAUGUUUUUUCUUGUAUCAAAUUAUUCAUAUAGCCACAUGCUUUCUUUUCCUACUAUUUACGAUUUAUAUGAAAUAUAUAUUAAUAAAAGAAAUGAAGCAUGAAGAUGAAUAAUUGAACAAGAGUUGCUGACCACUAUUUCCUAUCAUCCCCUCUGGUGGGUCCGAGACAUUGUGAGCUUUUGUAAAUGAAAGUUGAUACAGACCUUUGACUCACUUUCACUUGCACAUUUUCAAUCCUCUUCCCUUUCCUUCUUGUGAAGUAUCAUUUCUCUGCAAAGUGUAACGGGUGUUUUUAGUAAUUUAGGAUGUAUAAUAACAUAAAUAAAUUCAUAUUCCAAAAUUUAUGUAAUACAAAUUAUUUUAUCAUCUAUUAGUAAAGUUUUUAAACUCUACAAAUUUAUUUCUCUAAACACAGACAAAAAGGAUAUUGACACAAAAAAGGGCAUGCAACUUUCAAGGAAUUGCAUGGGAAUAGUUUCAUGUGCAAAGCAAAAAUCUCUAAUAAAACCUUAAGAUAGCAUACCCUUGCAUUGGAUAUAUCAAAAUUUGAAAUCCUCUCAGUAAAGAGUAAAAGUAUAAUUUUAUCAUCUUUUAAAAAUCCCCUACUACUUCGAAAAACUCACGUACAGGUGGUGGAAUUGUUAGCCCUUCUUUUAGCUUUGCUCCCAAAUCAAACGCUCUAACCAUCAGAGAAGGAAGACAUACGAUUGUGAUGAGUAGAGAAGAGAAUGAAAAAGUCAAGCCAGAGAAUGAAAAAUAAGCAAUAAAGCAAGAGGGAGAGAGACCAAUUGCCCAGGCCAUAAAAUCCACUAGAUGCACUUUCCUCAACCACUCUGAUGAUGAUGAUGGUACCUCAACAAGAUCGUCGCCAGAAGCCACAAUUGUUUCCCAGGCGGUAGAUUCAAUUCCAUCUAAGGAAAUAAAGAACAAAAACCCCAUGAAGAGGAGGAAGCGACCAGUUGCCUAGCUACACAGGUUGUUCAUCUACUAACCCUUAUAAUUCUAAAUGCAUUAUCAUUCCUCUACUAAACUCAUCACCCUCUAACCUAAUGGAUACAUAUCAAUAAAUAACUAGACAAACUAGAAUGAGAAUCACCCCCGAUGAAUAUCCUAAAGUACAGGUUGAUGGAAAUGCACUACAAAAACUUUAGUUGAUAGCCACCUUAAUAAAAGUGAAGGAUUCAAUCUAUAAGCUUUGUAUUUUGUCUCAAUUCCCUGUUGCUGGUAAGUACAUAGUGCUUCACAAGAUAGAAUUGAAUCCAAACAAGGAACACAUGAGGGAAUGGGAACUGAACAGGUUCACAAGGUAUUUGACUUCACCACCCUUCAAAGGACUUAUGACGAUCCUUGCAUGACAUUGUAGAGGUGUAUGGUACUAUGAUUUUGUUUGAACAGUGCAGGAAAUGGUUCAAAUUCACUUUAAUCAUUAUCAAAACUAGAGUCCAAGCCUCAAAAGUGCUUGACAUUUUGGAUUGACUUUAAUUUGAUGGCUACUUUGAAACCAAAUAUGGUUAUUGUAUCACUUAGAUUGUCUUCAUAAUUGUCGAACUUUGCACGAUCAAAUAAGAGUUACAUGCAACCAUCAAGGUGCAUCCUACCAACUUUUAUUGGUUUUUAUUUACCAUAUAUGCAAGCCUUAGAAUUGGAAAACAUAAACUUCUUUAGGAAAAUCUUUAAAAUGUAGCUAGACACCAUAGCAUGCAUUGGUUAGUCAUUAGAGAUUUUAAUGAAAUUCUAACUUUGAAGGAUAAGUGGGGAGCUUAACCACCAUCACAUAGAAGAAUGACAUAAUUUCAUAACUAUCUAAAUGAAUGAAAUCUCAUUAUAUAUGGGUUUCAAAGGACCUAGAUCACAUGGUCCAAUUUAAGGGAAAUGAGUAAACUUAUCUCAUUAUAUAAUGAAUGAAAUCUCAUUAUAUAUGGGUUUAACAAUAGAAAUUAUUCUACAAUGAAGCAUCUAUGACUCAACUUCCUCGAACAAGAUCAAAUCAUUGCCCCUUGUUGAUCUCCCUUAUAACACCCUUCGCCCGAUCCAAUCGUCAAGUCCAAGUUAUAAGAUGCUACUGUCGUUGUCGGAGCAACUAUGAACAUUUGAUAAUCAAUUUACUCUAUAAUACAUGCAUUCAUAAUCAAGUCGUCUCAUAAUUACAUUAUGCGAUCUUUUUUGAGACUUAUUCGAGCUUACAAAAGCUCAUUUACUAACACAAUCUUAAAAAAUGACCAAAUUGUAAUAUUUUCAAAGUUUUCAAAUUAGAUAUUGAUACCCCAUAAAGGUACUAAUACCAUUUUAGCCUUCGAUGUUUUAGAAAAAUUUAAAUGAAAACAAAUGUAUCGAUACAUUAUCUCUGUUUUAAGUUUGAUGUUUGAAAAUCUAAGGAAAAUCACCAAUGUACCGAUACCCUUUUUUAAGGUAUCAAUACCUUUAUGUCAAAAAUAUCAAAAACUUACUUUUUGGUACCUUUUUCAUGCCAACUUAACAUUUUCAUCUAACCUUAAGGUUUCUUCCCCAUAAUUAUCAUGUAGAACAUGCACAUAUUGUCAUCGAACAUAAUAACAUAGAAUACAACGAACCCUCAAAUCAUAUCAUGACUAAUUGAUGCAUUUUAACAUGCAACGACGAUUACUCAUACUACCAUGCAUACAUGUCAUACAAUCCCAUUAUGAAUCAAACUAGACAAAUUGGAGAUUAGAAUCUCACCUCACAUUCUUAUUCUUGGUAGCUCAGCUUGUCAUUUUGCCAGAGUUUUCCUUCAUCCUGACUGCAGUUCCUUAUUCCUCUAAUGUCAGACAUGGCUCCUCACGAUGGUAAUGACAUGUAAAUCCUUCCACAACUACCUCAUCUUUCUAAGGGAGAAGAAACUUGGUUCAGAGGAGGAGAAGAUGGUGAACAGAAUUAUAAAUAAUUAUGUUUCCAACUCGUCCAAUUUAUACCUCUUUGGCACGAUCUCUACAUACCGUCGUUACCACUCAAUCCUAAUUAUUUUGUCUUCCACUAUGGAACCAGUCGGUUCUAAUCCAACAAAACUAGUUUUGAGAGUCAACUCUUCCUUAACCAGCCACUUAAGUUUCUAAGUGCCUUAUUAGUGUCCAUGAAUUUUCUACUCCUAUUUAAUAAAAUCCUUGAAUCUUCCUCGAGUUCGAGUAUUUGGGAUAUCCAAGUGUGACAGAUAUAAAGAGGGAAUAAGAGUUAAAAGAAUUAGAAUUCACAUCACUCGAAACCUUAAAAGUAAUCCUGGAAACUUUAAAACUUUUCUUAUAGAUGGAGGUCAUGAUGAACUUUGUUGGAAUUUUACUAAAUCAGGUCAAUUUUCACUAGCAAGUGUAUAUGAGUUAGUCGAUAGCCAAUUAACUCAGUCACUACCCCUAGAUAAUUUAGAAUAACAAUAAAUUCCCAUACAAAAUCCAAAUGUUCAUCUAGGAAUGCUUCAAGAAGAUACUCCCAACCAAAGAUUUCUUUAUUCAUCAUAGCUUCAAACUACAAGAUACAAGGGAUUUCACUUUUUUUUUAUAAAAACCAACUCAAAACAAUAAAAUGCAUUCUCCGUAAAAGCCAUUUUUCUAGAAAUUAGUGGUAGUAUAGUUGGAUUCAAACAUUAAUGCAAAUAAAUGGUCAUUAAUGCAAAUAAAUGGUUUCUCAAACCCAAAAUCCACUGGCUAAAAAAUUUUGCUAUUAAAAAAUGCCAUUCUCUUUCCAAAUAAUCCCAAACCUUAUCACAUGUUCGCUAAGCUCAUGGAAAAAGAAACAAAAUACUUUGCAUUUUUUGUCAAAUUAAAGAAAAUCAGUGAGCCCUUAUGCGUCCCUAUGAGAUGGCAAAAUUUGAAACUUGGAUUUGUUAAAAUUAAUACCAAUGGUUUAACAUUGGGAAGUCUAGGGCAUAGUGAAGUUGGAUCAAUUAUUAGAGAUCACGUUGGAAUGCUUGUGCUUGGAUUGUUUAGGCACAUUCUAAGAGUUUCAAGUGUAGAAGUGGAAUUGUAGGCUUUACGUUACAGUUAUAAUAUCACAUAUCAACAAACUUGCUAAAAAUUAAGUAGAAAUUGAUGCAUCUGUUGUUAUUAGCUUCAUUGAAAAUUCUUGACAUGUUAAGCAUUUGUUGCAACCUUUAAUUGAUGGUUGCAUGACUCUCCAAUAUUGUUUCCAGUAAUUGACAUUGAAGCUUAUUAUAUAUAUAGGGAGGCUAAUCAUGGAGAGAAUGGCAUGGCAUGAAAGGAAGCAAUUCUCACUUGUCGUCUUACUCAAAUUUGAUUUUAUUAGGAACUUUUUGUGAAUUUAUAAUAAAUCACUUUAUGAACUUUCUCAUGUUUUGAUGGUUGAUGCCAAUGAUGUUAUGGUGCAUCAUGUAACACCCCUUACCUGGUUCGAUUGUCGGACCCGAGCAAUAAGGUGUUACCGGUAAUUAUGAAACAUUUACAAGCAUAUUAUAAUUCAAAACCUCAAUAAUUAAUCAUACAACUCAUAAAUAAUCAAAUUAACACAUGUUUCAAUCGAUUUUAGAUUAAUAUUGAGCUUAUGAAAAUUUAAAAUCAACUUGGUAACAUACAGGGAUUGUAAUAGCCCAAUUUCGAUGAAAUCGAAACAGUGGUCUCGGGACUACAAAUUCGAGCCGAAAGAAAAAAUAAAUAAAAUUUAUUUUUAUUUAUAUGAUUCAUAUUAUAUUAGAAAUUUCGUGCGAAAAUUUUGAAAAGAAAAUUUUACCGAUUACGUGCUUAAUUACGAGAAGACCAAACCGCAUAAAAUGCAAAAAGUUAGAUUCUAGUAGCUAGAAGGAUCAAAUAGCUAUUAAAUUCAAAACUUAAGGUUCUUGUAUGGUAAUUAGACCAUUAAUAAAAAGUAUAUAGAUAUUUUUGGAUGAUUCAUCCAUGGAAAAUGAGAAAAAGGCUAGGGACUAAAUUAGAAAGUGAAAAUAUUAAUUAAUUAAAAAGAUGAAAAGAAAAUAAAAAUCAUAUUUUCUCAGAUUCUUCCCCGAAAUAAACAUGGAAACCCUAGGAGAGAGAGAGAAGAGACUUUCAUGGCCAAAUUGGGCAAGUUUUCUUGUCCCGUUUUUAGUAAUUUUGAUAUUUUUUAAAUCGAGAUAGCCUAAACUAUCUAUUUGGGGGAUCAAUUUGAAAAGUUAUCAUGGUAAAAAAAUUGGGUCAAGGAUGUAUAUGCUGGAAAUUUGAAAUUUAUAGUAGAAAAUGAAAUAUUGAUGAAAGAUAAACAACUUUUACAAAGUAAUUUUUCAUGAAAACUUGAUUUAGGGACUAAAAUGAAAAAUGGUGAAAAUCUAUGGAAAAUGCUGAAAAUUGUGAAAUGUAUGUGCUGUAAAAGUUGUGUGUAUAAUUCGGCUAGGCUUGGGCAGAGGGUCGUAUUUCAUAAAUUUCAUUUUCCGAGCCUAAGGACAAAAUGGUAAUUUAAGGAAAAGUUAGGGGCAAAAUAGUAAUUUUUCCUAGGAUGAAAAUUUAGUCUACUUGAAUAUAGAAUUUGAUAAAUUGAUGUUAAAUUUACUAGUAUAGAUCUGGAUAGACCAAAUUCGGAGUUAGAAUGAAGAAUGAGGAAAAUGUCGGAUUAGUAGAGUUCACGUGCACAAACCUUUGUCGAGGUAAGUUCGUGUAACUAAAUUAUAUAUAUUUUUAUGCUUGAUUUAAAUGUUGUGUUUGUGAAUUUUAUUAAUGUCAUAAAUAUGUGAAAUGAUCACCUACUCGAUAUAGCCCGAUAAAUGAAAAUGCUCGAUAAAAUGGUAAAUGAAUAAAAUGUUACUUGUAUGCUUAACAUGAAUGUGGAAUGUGUUUUACUCGAAUUACAUAAAUGUUACGGAGGUAUGAAAUAAUCAAAUUAUCUAUAAUGCUUGAAAAAUGUUUAAACCCCGGUUGAAUAAAUGGAAAAUCGAUAGAUAUGUGAUUUCCCGAAACAAAAAAGGUCCUGCAUUUGUUGCAGAUAGGAUUUAGCUCAAAUGAGUAAUCUUUCGACCUCAAUUCUAAUAGGAUUUAGCCCGGACAGUUAAUCCUGAUAUAAGUCCUCUCAAGCAUAUAUUAUGGAUUGGAUUUAGCCCGAACGGGUAAUCUAGAUCAAACUCUUUAGAGCAUAUGUCAUAAAAAUGAUUUAGCCUGGACUGGUAAUCCUGUAGUAUAUAUAUGUUGCUCUAGAGUGUACUUUCUGAAAUAGUACCUUACGGGUACCAUUGAAUAUGAAUUGACAGAUCCUGAUUCGUACGCCUCGAGUGUACUUCUUAUGUAUCCAUCGAUAAUUCAAAUAAAUUCAACGGGCAAGGUUCUGAUAGGGGAAAAUAUAAAUCUAAGACAAAUUGACAUGGAGUGGUGUAUAUGAUAUGGAAAUAUGACAUGAAAGAAUAUUAAAUGAAAUGUAAGAAAAUAAUGAUACAUGACAAGUGAUAUAUGAAAUAUGAGAUAAUGAUAUUUGUACAUUGAAACUAUUUGAUGAGAAUGUUCAUUCUUGAUUAUAGACUUGUAUAUUCUUGAUUAUAGACUUGUACACCUAGAGUAUACUAAUCAUGACUUUGAUAUUCUGAGUAAUAUGUGUAAAGUUCUGACGCGAAAUGAUUUGAUCUCAAAAUGAACUAUUAUGAAAUUAUACUCGAAAUAAUAAGAUGAAUUAUGUAUGUUGAAUGAAUACAUGAUGUGGAAAACAUAUGUGCUUGGAAACUUGAUUAUUGUUGAGCCCAUACAUGUCUUGAUAUUACUAUGGAAUAUAUGACUAACUAGGGCAAUGAGGAUAUGUGUAGGGCUUGAGAUCAAAGUGGUUGAUUAUACAUUACUUAGUUACCUCAAAUAGGAUGAAUGGUAAGUUAAGUACCGUGUUACCCGAACUUACUAAGCAUUUUAUGCUUACUCUUUUUAUUUUCCCCUGUUUUAGAGUAAUCGGAAGCUCGUUGGGUUGGAAGCUUGGUGGAGAUCACUCACACUAUCCAUCGGCCCAUGUCAGUAUAGUAUGGUAAUUCAAUUGCAGUUGUAAUGGCAUGUAUAGGAUAUAUUGGCCAUAUUGGCAUGUAAAUGUAAAUUAUGACUGUAAACUAGCCAUUGGAAUGGCUAGUAAUGAUUGUUUUGAUAUACUUGUAAUGUCAUAUUGUAAUAUCCUAAUUUUGGGCCUAGUCGGAAUAGUGGUUUCGAGACCACAAAUCUGAGAUAGAAAGAAUUUUUUUUAUAAUUGUUUUGAGGUCUAUGAUAUGAUAUGAUUGCAUGAUUGUGUGAAAAUUUCAUGAAGAAAUUCUAUGCAUAAAGUGCUUAAUUUGAAAUUAGGGACUAAAUUGAAUAAAUUGCAAAACUUGUGUUCUAGAAGCAUUUUGCAUAAAAUUGAAUUAGAUUAUUAAUUAGAGGUCCUUACAGAGCAAUUUGACCAAUUUGUAAGUCUAUGGACAAAAAUUAGACAUGGAUGGAAUUUUUGGAAAGUUUAGUAGUAAGGGCAUUUUGGUCAUUUGGAUAUUAAAUGAAAUUAUGUAGUAUAGGAAGUUGUAGAUAAAACGGAAUAAAAACGAGGUAUUGAGACCUCGAAUUCAUAAACCGAGCCAUAAAUAUUUUUAGAAAUAUUUAUGGAGUGUAAAUAAGUUAGUAUUAAAGUUUCGUCAAGAAAUUUUAAGGUUUCGGUAAUUAAUUAGGUCAAAAGGACUAAAUUGAACUAAGUGCAAAAUUUGUGAGAUGUGAUUAAAUAGCUUAAGUAUUUAAAAAGAUGGAUUUAAAGAGCAAUUAGACCCAAAGGUUAAUGGCUGGACGGUUUGGGUAUGAAAUAAGCAAGAAAACAAUGUGAACAAGGGGCAAAAUUGGAAAUAGCAUAAAAGUUAGUAAUUAAAUAAUGAUGUAAUUGAAAAAUCUAGACAUUUCUUCAUCUUUCUCAGCCAGAAACGCCGUAGCAGGUCUACUAUGCUGGUUUUUCAUAUUUUUGCACCAUGUAAGUUCAAUUUUUACUUUUUCUUAGUAAUUUUUAUAUUUUUGUGACUUUUACAAUUAGGUCCAAUCAUCUAAUUCAUUAGUUUUUGAUUUGGUGGAUGAAAUUGGAAGUUCCCCUGGCUGAUUAAGGGCAUUUUAUGAUGAAUUAUUAUGAAAUUGAAGUUCUAAUUUCAUAUUAAGGUUGUUUUAUUAAGUCAUUUUGAUAGAAAAUGGUAUUUAUGACCUAAUUGUGAAAAAAAUUGUGAAUUAGAUGUUGGUGUUGAAAUUCAGAAUAUCAAAGGUUGUGAAAUAGUUUAUAAUGAUAAAAUAAAGAGUUAAUUGAGAAAAAUUAGUUCAAUUUAUGGGUGAAUUGAGUAGGGACUAAAUUGUAAAAAUUGUAAAUUUUGGGGUAAAAGUACAAUUUCGAAAUUUGAACAGCAUAAAUUGUGAAGUGAAAUAGAAAUCAAAUAAAUGCUAAUGAGUAGAAAUAAUUUAUAUUAUAGAUCAAGAGAAACGAGAUUCAAGUCGUGAUCGAGGGAAAAAUAAAGUUUACGAGGAAUAGGCUCGAUUGCUAAUAUUUUAUAUCGAGGUAAGUUCAUAUGAUUUUUAAUAAUGCAAUGUGUAAUUUAAUGUUUUGAAAUGAAAAUUUCAUGAAUGAUAUAGUAUAUUAUUGCAUAUAAAAUGUCAUUAAACUGUGAUAAUUGUAAAAUGAUAUUUGAAUAAAAGUACAAAUUAAAUGGAACAACGAACUUAAGUACUUUCAUUCAGUGGCUAAGACGAAUUGACGGAAAAGACCAUGGUUGGACCAUGGCAGCAUGUGAAAUGUGAUUUUCGUAUAAGACCAUAGCUGGGCUAUGGCUUCGGAGAAAUGUGAUAUGUGCUUCCGUAUAAGACCAUAUCCGGGAUAUGGCAUCGGUGUGAUAUGUGCUACUGUAUAAGACCAUAUCUGGGAUAUGGCAUCAGUGUGAUAUGUGAUCCGUGUAAGACCAUAGCUGGGCUAUGGCCUCGGUAUGUGAUAUGUGACUAUGUGCAAGACCAUAGUUUUACUAUGGCAUUGUGAUAAUGAGGUACUCAAUUCCAUAAUCGUUCCCUAAUUUGAUUAUGAACGAAAAUGUAAAAUGGCCCGAAAAGAUUAAGAAUUGGUGAAUACUAUGAAAAUGACACGAUUUGGAAUAAGUUCUUGAUACUUGAUGACAUUUAGAUUAUGGAUCUAUGCUUAUGAAGCAUAAUUAUGUGUUCUUACCAUGAUGGAUGAAAUGAUAUUGUAUGGAUUUAGUGAAUAAUAGUGGUGAAUGAAUAAAUACGGCCUUGGCAGUUUUGGGUUACUGCAGUAGUGUAACUUUUGAAAUUCACCAUAAAUUGUGGAAAUUGAGUUACGGGCUGAGUAAAAUAUGAGAUUAAAGCCUGAUGAGUCUAGUUUCAUAUAGAGGAAACGGUACAUGCAAUUGGAUUUUAUGUUAUGAGAUAUUUAAAUUGUUGUGAGACAGAGUCUGAAUGACUUCGAGAUCCCCUGUUCUGAUUUUAGAAAAUCAUUAGAAAUUGUACAAAAAUAAUUAUGAGUUUUAAUUUAUAUAUUUAAAAUCCUUAUCGAGUCUAUUUUCAAGAUGGAUAGACGGGAAUAUCAUCCAAGUUCCGAAUUAUGAGAUAAAUAAUUUUUAGUGAAGAGAGAUCAGAACUGUUGGACAGCGAAACAGGGGAAACUUUAAUGAAUAAACUGUACUAAAUGGAAAAACCAAAAAUUCUGGAAAUUUUAUGGUAGAAAGGUAUAUGAAUCUAGUUUCAAGGAAAAUUAACAGAACUUAAUUUGAAGUUCCGUAUCUCCAUAAAUAAAUUAUUUAGUAAAUGUAUCUCGAUAAAACAGUUUAAGCUGAGUAUGUAUAAUUGUACAAUUGUGGUGUUUUAUCUUAAAAGCAUGUUGGUAAUUGCUUAUUAAUUUCAUAUGGACUUACUAAGCAUUUAUGCUUACUCCCUCCUUUUCAUUCCUUGUAGUUUUGACAAGCCAGCUCUAAAAUCGGGAACAGUCGGAGGCCCACUCACACUAUCCGUAUACCAUCUUAGCAUAAUGGCUUGUAUAUUUUGAGUAUGGCAUGUAUAGCAUUAUAAUCAUUUUGUGUAUAUGGUCUUAUGAUAUGGAUAUUGAGUGGUAUGGAAAUGCUUGGUAAUGAUUAGCCAUUGGAAUGGCUAAUCAUGAUCAUAUUUGGUGUUAUGUAUGCUAAAUUGCUAGCUAAUCCAUGGAAACCAUGAAAUAGGCAAAAUUUACCAUAAAAUAGAUUCAGACAGCAGCAAUGAUGUGAGUUUGAAAAAUCAUUAAAAAUAGUAGAGAUAUAAUUAGAUGAUGAAUAAAAUAUGGAAUUGAAGAAUUAUUAGUCUAUUUUCAUAUGGAUGGAAAAAAACAGGUAUAUGAGUUAUAUUUUAUGAGAAGUUUAAAUUUUUGUGAAACAGGGCUAGAGCGAUUUCUGGAUCCCCUAUUCUGACUUUGAGAAUUCACCAUAAAUUGUACAAAUAUAAUUAGAAGUUAUGCUUUAUAUGUACAGAUUCCUUAUUGAGUCUAGUUUUAUUAGAAACAAACGGAAUAGUCAUUGAAACUCUGUACAGGGAGAUAUCUGAUUCGUAAUACACAGAGGUCAGAGCAGUCGAACCCUAAAAUAGGGGAGACUUUAACUAAUAAACUGUACUAAUUGGCCUUACCAAAAAUUGUAGAAAAAAAUUAGUAGAUAGAUAUAUGAGUCUAGUUUAAGGAAAAUUUUACAGAUUUUGAUUUCGAGUUUCGGAACUCGAGAUAUGAAUUUUUAAGCAACUAUGACGCAGUUGGACAGCUUGUCCGAAUUUGUUUAAGUGCUCAAAUAAGUUUAGUAAUGCCUCGUGCUCGACUCCGGCGACGGUCUCGGGUAAGGGGGCGUUACACAUAUUAUGUUAACCACAUAUAUGUUAAGUAGUGAUAAAAUUAUAUCUAACAUGAGAACGUAACUAAGGUAAGAUUGUAAACAUGUAUGCAUAAAAUGUUAUGCCAUGAUGAUUGAUGGAUCAUGCUUGAUUAGAAUGCUUGAAAUGGUUAGUAAUUGUAUGUGAUGAUAUAUCAUGUUAAAUGAUAGAAUUAACUUGAAUAAAAUGCUUGGAUUUGUUGGGUUAUGAAUGCAAGAUGUAGUGUAGGAUUAUGGCAAAGAUUGGGGUGAGAAAUGGAGCUAGGAAUGGCUUUAUUUUGUCCACAUGGGUGUGUGUUUAGACCCCCUUCACCUUAAUUUUGAGAAACAGAAUGCUCAGAAUUAAGCACACGGGCGUGUGUCUCAGCCGUGUGUGCUACACGGCCUUGUACACAGCUAUGUGCGCAAGUCAGAGAGUUACACAAGGUUGAACACGGCCUCUGGCACAGGCGUGUCCCUUGGACCAUACAGGCAUGUGAGCCCUGCACCUUGGUAAAAUUUUAAAAAUUGGUGAAAAAUUCUUAGAGUUCCCGAUUAAGCCCCGACUCGACUCUAAUGCUCGUAUUGGACCUCGAGGGUCCAAUUAAGGGACGUUUGAAUAAUUUUGAUUAAUGAAUAGUGACUUGCAUGAAUUAAUUGUAAAAUGUUAUGAAUGUUUUGGUAACGCUCCGAAACUCUGUUCCGGCGAUGGAUACAGGUUAGAGGUGUUACAGGGAUCAAUUUGAAACUUAAACAAAAAAUUGAGAAAAAUUUGAAAACAGGGGUCACACGAUCGUGUCCCCUGACUGUGUGAGAUGGGUCACACGACUAUAUCAUUGGGUUGUGUAACAAACUAUUACGUGUGCACCAAAAUCGCUUAAAAACUUACAGACCAAACUACUGUAACACCUCUAACUCGUCUUCAUUGCCGGAUUAAGGUUACGGGAUAUUUCGACAAUUAACAAGAUCGAUAAUACACUAACACAACUCAAAUUAAUUUAAACAUUGUAAAUUAAAUAACAAUCAUCAUUCAUAGCAUACAUUUAGAAAUGAGACUUAAAUCGAGUAUUUGGAACCCUAAAAUCAGUUUAGAAACAAAUAUGGACUAAUUUGAAAUAAAACAGAAAAAUAUAGAAAAAAACUGAAAAUAAGGUUCACAUGGUCGUGUGAUAGAGCCCAAAUUGUGUGGCUCAAAGACAUGCCGUGUGGCCAAACCGUGUAACUUAAGGUUAUACGGCUGUGUUGUCAGGCUGUGUAACUCUUUGAGAUCUUGUGGACAAACUUGUACCAAAAAUCAAUAAGACACACGAUCGUGUGAAGUGACUGUGUGCGGCACACGCCGUGUGGUAAACAGUGUCCUAGGCCAUGUGCACCUAAAAUAACUUCAAAAAUAAGUCAUUUCAACAACCAUUUCUUAGAUAUCAAGCCAAACCAUUUCCAUCCAUUUCUACCUAUUCAAAACACAUUUAAACAUACCAAAAACAUUCAACCUAAGUGCCUAACCAAUAUGCCCUCAUUGGCACCACAAUUCAAACGUUUAAUCAUAGAUCAUUCAAACAUCAACCAUUAGUUAACCAUACCUUCCAUUUCAUGAAUUUAAUACCCAACUAAACACAUAACACCAUUGCCCACAUUGUUAACAUAAUAUCAUCCAAAGUUCAGCAAGUUACCUAAAGCAAAAUGACCCUUUCAUCACUAAAGCACAAGAUAAGCAUACAAAACAGUCAUUCCUUACUAAUUCAACUACCAAAUUUAUUGUCAUAAUAUCAUGUUCAUAUUCAUAAACUAAGUUCACCAAAUAACCAAAACUUAUACAUAAUUCUUUACUUAAAUACCAUGAACAACACUAAAUAGAUUUACACUAUUAUAUUUAUCAACACAAUCAUUAAAACUUACCAUUUUUACAUUGGUUCAUAUACCAAAAGGCUCAAAACAUAAUCAAAUACUUUUAUCAUAUAAAUAUCAAAAGUUAUUUACAUGACACUUAUAACCAAACCAAAGUGAACAAUUAAUUACCGAACAAGUUGCCGAAUAGUGUGAUCUCCAAAAGCAAUCCAGUCGACAGCUUGGAAUCUACUAUCUACAAGGAAGAAAAACCAAAAUGAGGUAAGCUUGUGUAAAACUUAGUAAGUUUGUAGUAAAUUUUAACUUUAACUUACCGUAAAUGAUAUAAUUUAAACAUUUUACAAGAUAAUUCAAUAUCCUGGUCAUGAAUUUAUUAAUUACCUAUACACAUCACAAGUCUCACAAGGUUAGUGAGUUCAUAUAUAAAACAUGUAACUUUAUCAUGUUACCAAACACAUACCCAAAAACACAUUUAGUACAUAAACCAACCAUCACAUAUUCAUUUAAAAUUUAACAUCUUUAUUUCAAGUACUUGUUUUAAAUGUCCCUUUUCACAUAUCUAUAUUCAUAUAAAUAUUUUGUAUAAACACUUUAUAUAGCCAUUUCAUAUAUCUAUUUCCAUAUAAACAUUUUGUACCAUUUCAUAUUACCAUUUCCGUUUACUCAUUUUUCACCCGAUGAACCAUAAUGAAAUAACAUUGGGUACACGAGAACAAUGCUCACACAAACUAUGACGAUAAAUGCUCACACUAGCUAUGAAAUGGGUCUGCUCACACGAGCUAUGGGUCCGGAUGUUAGGUUACACGAUACUGCUCACACGAGCUAUGGAUAAUCCGCAACAAAUGCAAGAUCUCAGCCAUUGGUAGGACAUCCAAGAUCAGCACUCUAAACGAUAAAUACUAUAAUGACAUCUCAUUUGUAUCUUAAGCAUUCACAAGAUUCAUACGGGUUGUGAUUCACAUCCAUGCCAUAUAAAUGAUUAAGUAUUUCUUUGUCAAAUGAGUUCAACUAUAUAUUUCCUCUAAUUUAAACCAUGACCUCAAUUAUAAUUUCAUUUCAAUUUGAACCAUUCAAUGCUUUAAAAUCAGAACACCAUUAAUUCAAUCACAAGCAUACACAAAUGAUAUUAUACUACACAAACAACAAUUAACUCAAUUUAUACGCUAUACGAACUUACCAAAACUGAUUCUGCAGCAAACACAACUCCAAGGACUAAUCAAUAAUUUUUCUUUAUCCGCAUUUGUCUAUUGAUUGAUCCAUUUCUUGAUCUAUAUAUAAUAAUAAUUUCAUUCAAUUAUUUAAUUAAAAUACUUUUAAUUACUAAAAUUCACAUAAUUGACCAUUUAAUCAAUAUUUUAUACAUUUACCCUAAACUUUUACCUUUUAUUCAAUUUAAUCCAUAAACCCGAAACUUUCAAAUCUACCACAAUUUCAUCAAUUUCAUGCUAGUUGUAUUUUCCUUAUGCCAUUACAGUCCAUAAUUAUUAAAAUAUCACAAUAGUUUCAUGCCAAGUUUAUUAUUUUAUCAAAUUAGUCCUUAAACUUAAAACUAACCAAAAUCACUUUAUAAAAUAGUCCUAUUUAACUAUUAAGCUUAAUAAUCCACCAUCAAACUUCAAAAACAUCACAAAUUCAUCCAUGUAAUAAUUCAAAAUAUUUAACACUUUUACAAAUUAGUGUCAGGGUUAGCUAGAUUAAGCUACAACGAUCUCAAAAACAUAAAGAUCACUAAAAAUAGGUAAAGAAAACAUUAAAUGCAAUCAAAAUAGGCUUCGUCGAACCUUGUGUUUUCCAUCAAUGGUGUUUCGUGAAAGAAGGUAGAAGAAAAUGAAAAAUAAAAUGGUUGUAUUUUGUUUUUAUGUUUUAAUCAUUUUUAAAUUAUUAAACAAUUUUAUAUUAACAUAAUAUUACACCAAAUUUGUAUAGUAACUGGCCAUUAUAUUCCAACAUGGUCAAGUUGCCUCAUAAAACCAUCUAAACAUGAUUUCAUAACCAUUAAACACAUAUAAACUAAUAGCGAUUAAGUUUUACAAUUUUUAUGAUUUAGUCAUUUUUACUUAAUUAACUAUCUAAACAUCAAAAUUUUUGGACCAAAUUUCAAUAAACCUAUAUAAUCAUUCCAUAAAAUAUUUAAUAUUAAUAUUUAUGGGCUUGGUUUAUGGAAACUAGAUUCUGAAACCUCAUUUUUCAAAACCACUUGACUUUAGGGACAACCACUCGAACUUAACUAUUUGCUCAAUUUGCAAAAAUUAUUAAACUAAAAAUCCAAUAUAAUAUUAUCAUUGACUCGUAAAUAUUAAAUAAUAAUAUUUACAAACUCGCUUGUCGGAUUUGUGAUCAUGAAUCUACUAUUUUUUACACCACUAGAAAAUGAGCUGUUACAACGGCCUGCCAUAUGCACUUGUAUGGUGUACUGUCGUACACCAAGCCGUGUGUACUUGGAAUUUCCUUUCAAGUUAAGCCAUUCAAUCUAACUUCACUUAAGUAACAAGCAACCAUUCAUACCACAUUCAUACCAAUUCAAAAGCACCAAAAUCAUACCAAAAUCAUCAUUAAUAACAUCCAACCUAAGUGCCUAACCAAUAUGCCACAAUUGGCACCUCAAUUCACAAUUCAAAACCAACCAAAUAUCAUAUAUAAGUACCAUUUCAAAUAAGCCUUCAUUGGCAGCUCAAGUUUCAACUAGCUAUGCUUCAAAAUAAUCAUUCAAACAAUCUUAUAUUUGCCUAAAUUUAACCCUAUGAUAUACACAUCAAACCUACCAAACAUUUCAAUCAUAACAUAAGCACAUCAUUCAUCAUUCCCAUAGUUAUUAUAGCAACCAAAACACAUUUCCAAUCAUGUUAUUUUCUCAAUCAUUACACCAUUAUGAAUAUAGUAAUAACUACCUUAACAAGAUAAAAUCGACAUGACCAUUCUCAAUACAAAUAUUUACAUUUAUAAAUAUGAACCUUAAAAUACCAACAAGAGUUCAAAACCAAAAAUUAUAACCAUAAGAUAUCCUAGGUACAUGUUAAGAUCAAAAUGGACACAUGACCAACAUUUGACUUUAGUAUUGUUGCUAGAUGCUGGUUCGAUGAUCGAAUCUUUAGAUACCUAACCUACGCACGAAAAAUAAAACCAUAUGCUGAGUAUAACUCAGUGGUAGUUCUAUAAUCGAACAUUACAAUAUACUAUAAAGGUUAUAAUGCAUUUUAACAUGUCAAUCUACAAGUCCUAAUACAUCAUCUAAAUAUUAAACCUAUUUACAUAUAUUAAAUCAAGCUAUCAUAGUUGCAAUAUAUACAUUUUUCCCUAUCUCAAUCGAAUUGAUUAAAUCUUACAAUGUCAAAUCCAUAAUUUCAAGCUUAUAAACUGAUAUCCACUAUCCACCCUUAUUUUAAUUACAAUUAUACUUUAUUUCUCAAUUCCACAACAUAAUUUCAUCAACCAAUCAUCAAAUCACAUAUGCGAUAGCAUAAUUCAGCACCAAUUGAAUUCAAUUGUACAAUUAUAACGAUAAAUUAUAUUUUCAAAUCUAUUCAAUUUAGUCAUUAUCACAGCCAACUAAUUAAAAUCGAUUCAAUUAAGCUUGUUCAAUCAUUUUCAGCUUAGCAUAUAGUAUUAGUAUGCAAUGCAAUUCAAAAUUUCAACAAUUGAAAAGGUUUGGGUUAUAGAAAUACAAACUGUAACUGCGAGCUAUUUGUCGAUGACUUUAUCUUUUCCUUUCUAUUUUGAGAAAUUUGAGUCGAUGUUAGAUAGAGAUUAACAUAAAUACACCAAAUCAUCAAUACACAAUCAUUUUCACAUUCAAUUUCUAAUUUAUGUGAAUUUAGCAUUUUAUUCAAUUUAGUCCCUAAAAGUGAUACUAGUAUAACUUUCACAAGCAACCUCCAAUUUUUAUACCGAUUUCACUCUAAGCCUAAUUUAUACCUACAUUUCCCACCACAAAAUUCAAAAUUUGUGUAAUUUAAUCCCUAUUACACAAAAUCAAUUGAUUUUAUAAUUUAGCCAUUUUCCAAUUCUAACUUUAAAAUUUAUCAAAUUAGUCCUUAAAUCUCCAACUAUUCAAUAAUGGUAACAUUCUCAAUCUUUAACAGUACUGAAAACUACCAAAUGGGUCGACUAGCUUAUGCUUCUAAGUUUCUGAAAACAAAAAAAAUUACAAAAAAAAAACUAAAUUAAACUUGAAAAAUUGAAGCACUAGCCGUCAGAUCUUAUUUUUCCCCUUAAUAUUCGGUGUUUACAUGAGAAAAUGGUUGAAAAUGUUUUGUUUCUUGCCUAUUAACUGUAUUUUAUUCUAAUGGCUUUUUAUUUUAAUUAUUAACUAAUGUUUUUAUAAUAAAAACAUGUACUAUACUAAGUUAACCCUCCAUAUAUUCUUAUGUUUAACGUUUAUUUUUCAUUUAAGUCUUUUAUAUUAAGUUCUAAUUAUAAAUUUUUAAUAAUUUACACUUUUAUCACUUAAGCGAUUUAGUUUUUGUACAUUAACUAAGCUUUUAAUUCAAUAAAAUUACUCGACCGAAAUUUAAUUCAGUUCUAAAAUAACUCCAUAAAUAUUUAAUAAUAAUAUUUGUGAGUCUGAUUUACAAAAAUGAGGUCUCAAUCCCUCAAUUUUCAAAAUCACUAACUUUAGAACCGAUACACUUGUACUUGUCAAACUUUCCAAAUAACUAAAAUUAUUAGACCAAACUUCAGUAUAUGUAAUAUCCUGAUUUUGGGCCUAGUCGGAAUAGUGGUUUCGUGACUACAAUCCGAGAUAGAAAUAAUUAUUUUAUGAUUAUUUUAAGGUCUAUGAUAUGAUUGCAUGAUUGUGUGAAAAUUUCGUGAAGAAAUUUUAUGCAUAAAGUGCUUAAAUUGAAAUUAGGGACUAAAUCGAAUAAUUUGCAAAACUUGCAUUCUAGAAGUUUCUAGUAUGAAAUUGUUUUGAAAUAUUAAUUAGGAGGUCUUAAAUAUAAUUUUACCAAUUUCUAAUUCUAUGGACAAAAAUUUGACAUGGAUGGAAUUUUUGGAAAGUUUAGUAGUAAGGGCAUUUUGGUCAUUUAGGGGUAAAAUGAAUUAAAAUACAAAAUUAAAAGCCAAUUUUGCUCAUCUUCAACCCCAUGGCCGAAUAUAGCAAGGAGAAACCAUGGAUAGGGUUUUUCAAGCUUCCAAGCUCGAUUAGCAAGGAAAACUGAAAUUAGGCUAAAAUGGGGAAAACACCAAGUUGUGGACGAAAUGGUAAAAGUAGCCAUUUUCGCAUACGAGGUAAGUUCAUAUGUAAAUGUUGGUAACAUAGUUAUUGUUUUAAAUGUUUUAAUGUUAUUUAAAUGAUAUGAUAAUUAUUAUGAAAUGUAACACCCCCUAACCCCAAACCGUUACCGGAACGAGGUUAUGAGGCAUUACCGGACAUAUCAGACAACUUACGAAUAAUUUACAAUUAAUAUAACUUUCAUAGUAUAAUAUAAUAAUUAAGUCCCUAUCUUGAACUCUCGAAGUUCAAACACGUAUUAAAAGUAGAACGGGACUUAUUCGAGUAUUCCAAAUUUUUUUAUAAAAAUUUCGGCAGGAUUUCUGCUUAUUUUUACCUAAACCUCCUGCAAAUUCAAACCAAAACAACCAACACCAAUAUUUCACAUUCAUAUACUAAUAUUUAUAUUAUUAACAAAAUUUUAAUUUAAUAACUAUUAUAGCAUCAUUCAAAAUUGAUUAAAAACUUCAUUCAUUUAACAACUUGAUGUUCAUGUAUCAAAAUAUCAUGUACUUUCCUUACCAUUUCAUUUAACCAUCUAAAUUUUAUAAUUCAUCCUUCACUACCCAAAGUAAUAUACAUAUUCAAGUGACUAAAUAACACCUAUGUACAUGCCACCUUUACCCAAAAGAAAAAUAUACAUCACCAAGUUUGUGUUGGAGUCGGGAUUGUUCUGGAUGCUGAGCCGGGACACUUGACUUCUACUAACCUACGCACGGAAACAACCGUACGCUGAGUAUGGAUAUACUCAGUGGUAUUACUAUAAUCCAAGACUAUUUAACAUUAAUAAUUUACAAACAUCAACCAUAAAUUCUAUAAUUAUUUAAACUACUUUUAUAUCUAAUUAUUUUACUUCAUAAAUCUUAAAUUCAUAAUUCAUUUUUCUCAUACUAACUCAAUUCAUAAUUUAGUUCAUUCAUUCUUUCUCGUACUUUUCAAUAGUACUAAAACAAAUAAUCUCAUUUUCAAAAUUUCAUUUCAAUUAUUUACCCUAUUAACAAAGCUCGGACUAUGACAGAUACGCGGAUUCCAUCCAAACACACCAGAAUGUCCAACCCAAACACACCUGGAAUAUUGUAAAUCCUCCAUAACACACCGGUAUAAUAUAUCCUCCCAAACACACCAAUAAGGCAUUAAAUGCCUAUUCGGAUAAACCGAAGUAUAUAAUAACAGAAACAUCUUCUCGGCCGAACUACAAUCUCUUCAUCACAUCACAAAUCCAAUGGCAUGCCAUUUGUAUCGAAUCUAGUCCGACAAGUUAAUAGGGUAUUAUUUUACUUUUUCUAAUUUCAAUUUAAUUUACACAAAAAUUUUCAAUACUCAUUCAAUUCAAAUAUCUAUUAUCUUAAUUCAUAUACAAAUUAAUUUUCACACAAGUGUAUACCAUCAACACCAUACAAUUGUCACCAUUUAUUUAUUUUUCAAUCAAUACACUUUUCAAAUAAUCACAUACUUACCUCAAGUCUUACUUACCAUACAUAACAAUUAAAAUUUCAGCAAUCAAUAAUAAUUAAAAUUCGAAUUAUAGUAAUACACACCGUAAUUCUCCCGUUUUAGUCCUCGAUGGCUUUCUCCUUUCCUUUCGAUGCUGAUGCUUCAGGUUCUUUGUUGGCUACGAAAAUAAUAAUUUAUAAUCAUCAAUACAACAUGAUUCAAUUUAAUUCAUGAGCCUAAACAUGCAAAUUUAACCAUUUUUAAUGUAUAUAUAUAUAAUUUCACCAUUAAGCUGUCUACUUGAGUCAUUGUUACUAAAUUAUUUAUAUCUUGAGCUACGAAACUCAAAAUUAAUAUACGUAAAUUUUCCUUAAAACUAGACUCAUAUAUAUUCUAACCAUAAAAUUUCCAGAAUUUUUGGUCUAGCCAUUUAGUACAGUUUAUUCGUUAAAUACUCCCCUGUUAUUUCAUUUGACAGUUCUGACCUCUCUCUACUAAAAAUAAAUUAUCUCAUUGUACAGAACUCGAAUAAGGUUCUUGUUUAUUUAUUUUGAAACUAGAUUCAUUAAGAAGUUCACAUAUAUAAAUUACACUCCAUAAUAAUUUUUGUACAAUUUUUAAUGAUUUUCCAAAGUUAAAAUAGGGCAUCUCGAAAUCACCCCGAACCAGUAUUACAAAAUUUCAAAUAUCUCUUGGUUCAUCAAUUAAUUGCUUACACUGUUUCUACUAUAAGAAACUAGACUCAAUAAGCUUUAAUUCCAUAUUUUGUUGAUCCUCUAGUUCAAUUUAUAAAAUUUUUAGUGAAUUUUCAAAGUCAGACCAUUGCUACUUCCCAAAACUGUUUUGAUGUAAAAUGUUAAUAACCAAAUUUAUAACACCAAUUCACACCUUAUUCCUAUUCAAAUUUCAUUUAAACUCAAAUUUAACUAUUAAAUUUUCAACAUAUUUUCUUAAUUCCGAAUUUUCCUCAAUUUAGUCCCUAAAACACAAAACUUAUAGCUUACUUUGCAAUUCAAUCCUUAUAUCUAUUCUAACUUGAAUUUCAUUCAAUUAAACCCCUAUUUCAUCAUUUUAUUCAACAUGAACUUUGUUUAAAAACCUAAGAACUUCCAAACUAACAACUUAAUUUCAUCAAAAACUUGUUUUAAGACUUCUAAAAUAUCAAAAUUAUGAGAAAAGGACUUGAUUGAGCUUACCAAUUAACUCCAAGCUUCAUAAACCCUAUUUCCCCUUUUCUUUCUUCUUUCUCCCCUGUUUCUUCUCUGUUUUGGUUUUCAUUUCCUUUUCUUUUAACUUAUUUGUUUCUUUUAUAUAUAUAAUAAUAUAAUAUAAUAUAAUAUAAUAUACUUAAUUAUUAAAUAAAUAUAUAUUUUUUUAAUCAAUAAAAUCUUUGAUAUUUUCCACGUUAAACCGCCUCAACUAUAGGAAAUGGUUUAAUUUCCUCUUAAGUCCUUCUAAUUUUUCUUUAAUCUAUAAUUAAACUUUUACCCUUAUUCAAUUUAAUCCUUUUUAUUAAUUACUCUAAAUUAAGCUAAAUUUACUUAAUUAAAACCUAAUUAAACACACUACUAGACUCAUAAAUAUUUUUAAUAAUUAUUUUUGAACUUAUUUCAUUAAGACGGAGGCCCGAUAACACACUUUUCUGGUGCCCACGGAUUUUGGGUCGUUACAUGAAAUAUCAUACUUGUGACAAUUGUUUGAUAAUAUGUCAAAUUAUGUGAUAUACUUGGAAAAUGUGAAAUACUACCGAGUAUCGGUAUCGACAUUCCAUAGAAGAUGGUUGAGACAUAUGAUUGGGAAAAAUGUCCCGUUGAACCUUAGGAAUGGAUUAGGAUACAAGUGACAUGUCAUUGGGAUAUUUGGGCAUCCGAACUCGUUGAGUUGAGUCCGAGUUCACUUAUGGAUGCGAGCGUCCGAACUCGUUGAGUUGAGUCCGAGUUCGUGAGAUGUAACUAGGCAUCCGAGCUCGUUGAGUUGAGUCCGAGUUUACUUAUGGAUGCGAACGCCCGAGCUCAUUGAGUUGAGUCCGAGUUCGCUUAUGGGCGGGUUACAUGGUAGCUUGGCUACAUAUGUGGCACUUAUGUGCAAACUUUCCAUGUAUCCGAAUUAUAUUCUGAUGUGUUCAACGGGUAAAAUUCUACUGAAAUGGAGGAAUAUUCAAGAUGAAAGGGACGUAUUGGUAAGUGUUGUGAAAUGGGUACUUUGAACAGGUAUGUACUUAACCCUCGGGUUGAAAAAUCGAUAUAACAACAAUAUGGUAAGAUGAUAAAUGAAAAUGUGAUAUGAAUGUCUUGGUGAUGAUUAUGCAAAUGAUGUUUUAUGUUUGCUUAUAUGGUUAUGUUACUUGCUAUUUGCAUGUGAAUUUAUUAAGCAUUUAUGCUUACUCCCUCCUUUUCAUUCCUUGUAGUUUUGACAAGCCAGCUCGAAAAUCGGGAACGGUCGGAGGCUCGCUCACAUUAUCCGUAUACCAUCUUGGCAUAAUGACUUGUAUAUUUUGAGUAUGGCAUGCAUAGCAUUAUAAUCAUUUUGUAUAUAUGGUCAUUGAGUGGUAUGGAAAUGCUUGGUAAUGAUUAGCCAUUGGAAUGGCUAAUCAUGAUCAUAUUUGGUGUUAUGUAUGUCAAAUUACUAGCUAAUCCAUGGAAACCAUGAAAUAGGUAAAAUUUACCAUAAAAUAGAUUCAGACAGUAGUAGUGACGUGAAUUUGAAAAAUCACUAAAAAUAGUAGAAAUGGAAUUAAAUAAUGAAUAAGUUAUGGAAUCGAAGCUUGAUGAGUCUAUUUUCAUAUGGAAAAAGCGAAACAGGUAUAUGAGCUAUAUUUUAUGAGAUGCUUAAAUUUUUGUGAAACAAGGCCAGAGCGAUUUCUGGAUCCCCUGUUCUAACUUUGGAAAUUCACCAUAAAUUUUACAAAUAUAAUUAGAAGUCAUGCUUUAUAUGUACAGAUUCAUUAUUGAGUAGUUUUAUUAGAGACAAACGGCAUAGUCAUUGAAGCUCUGUACAGGGAGAUAUCUGAUUCGUAAUACACAGAGGUCAGAGUAGUCGAACCCUGAAACAGGGGAGACUUUAACUAAUAAACUGUACUAAUUGGCCCGACCAAAAAUUCUAUAAAAAAAUUACUAGAUAUAUAUAUGAGUCUAGUUUCAGGAAAAAUUUACGGAAUUGGAUUUCGAGUUUUGGAACUCGAGAUAUGAAUUUUUAAGCGACUGUGACGCAGAUUGCUAGCUUAACUGAAAAUUUUAAAAAUAAAUUGCUUAAGCUGUUUAAGUAAUGAAUUAAGUCUGUUAACACCUCGUGUUCGACUCCGGCGACGGUCUCGGGUACGGGGCGUUACAGUAUAAUACUGUAAUACCCUCGUAAAUAUUAAUAAAUAAUAUUCACUGGCUCUAUCAUCGGAAAAAAAAAAUUUGAAACCAUCAUUUUCGAUUCUACUUACUUUCAAGUUGUUAUAUAUCGUACCUUAGUUUAAGCUUUAAUUUAGUGUUUGUUUCUAGAUUAUUUGCUUUAAAGAGUGGCUAAAUCAAAAUAUUCAAAAAAAUGGUACGUCUUAUUUAAGAUGUAAAAAAAAUUAGUGUUAGAAAAAAAGAGAGUAAAGAGUUAACAUAAGAUAGUAUUUAAACUCUAGUUAUGGAGUUAAAACAUUCUAGUGAAGGUAUAUUGAAUACUACUAUUCAUUAAUUUGUUAAUAUCUAAGUAUAAAUGUAACGACCCAUAUUUCACGGGCACCGGAAAAGUGAAUUUAGGGCCUCCUUCUUAGGAAAACGAGUCCGUAAAUAUUUAUUAAAAAUAUUUACGAAGUUAGUUAUGGGUUGAAUUAGAUUUUGAUUAGGUGAAUUUAAUUUAAUUAUAAGUAAUUAGAUGAAAGGAUUAAAUUGAAUAGAGCAUAAAAGCUAAAUAAUAGAAUAGAGAAAGGAUAAAGGAUUAAAUUAGUAAUUAAACUAAAUUAGUGACAUGUGUAAGUUAGAAAAUAAAUACGUUUUUAUUUAAAUUAUUAGUACAAAUGUAUAUAAUAUAUAAAUUUACUUAUAAAUUAAGUAAAAGAUAUUUACUUAUUAUUAUUAUUAUUAUUAUUUUAUCAACUAAUUGAGAUAAUGACAAAUGUAUGGUAAUGAAAUAUUACAUGUGUACCUGUGUGUAUGAAUACACAUGUAGUAUUUUUAUUUGUAUUAAUUAGGAAUAUUUUAUAAUUAGUUAUUAAUUAAGUAAAUAAAGAAUAAAUAAAAUAAAGAAACAAAAGAAAAAGAGAAAUAGUUACAGAGAAGAAACGAAAUAGAAAGAAAGAAAGAAGAAAAGAAAAGAAAAAUGAUAAAUUAGAGUUUGAAAGCUUGGAAAUUAAAUUGGUAAGUCAAUUAAGUCAAUUUCUUAGUGAUUUUGAUGUUUUUAAAGUUCUAGAGUUGAAUACUUUUGAAUUUGUGUGAAAAUAUUGAAAGAUGAUAGACUUUUAAGUAGGGUUUAUGUUGAACUAAUGAUGAAAUUAGGGGUUUAAUUGAUAGAAAUUUUGAUUUAAAUUGAUUAAAGGAUUAAAUUGUAAACUAGGCUAUAAGUUUUGAGUUUAUGGGCUAAAUUGAAAGAAGUUUAAAAUUAUGGUAAAAUGAUGAAAAUUUGAUGGUUAUAUUGAAGUUUUGAUGGAAAUUAAAUAAGAAAAUGAUGUGAAUUGUAAAAAGGAAGAAGAUGAAAAUGGUUAGGGCAAAUUUCGGAUUUAGGUAAAAGUUGCAUGAAAAGUUAUUAUUUUAUAUAAAAUAUGUGUGUUAUUAAUUAAUUGUACUUAUGCUAAUUAAUUGUACUUAUAUGAUGGUUUGGUAUGAAUUUAUAUAUAUGAUUUGUAUGUAUGAUUUGCUAAUUAUCUAUGUAUGUUAUGAUAAUUUGUUGUUGUUAUAAUUUGAAUUAUGAUAAUACCACUAAGUAUUUCCAAUACUCAGCGUACGGUUGUUUCCCGUAUGCAGGUUAGGUAGAGUUGAAGUUCUGUUAAGCAUUCGAGUCAAUCCCGACCUCAGUUCAAUUUUGGUGAUGCAUCUAUCUUUUAGGAAUGUGGCAUGUACUAGGUUUGGUGUUUGUCACUUGUAAAUGUUUUAUAUUUUGAAUGUAAAUGUAAUACUCUGAAAAUUUUUACAGUAAGAUAUUAUCCUUGAUAUAGUAAAAUAAGAAAAUAAAGUGACAAAAAGGGAAAUUUUGAGUUAUGUCAAUAUUGAGAAGUAUAUUAUGAUAUAUUAAUUCAAGAAAGGACUAAAUUGUAAAAGUGAGAAAAGUUUUGUUGCACAAGAAUAAAUACUCAAAAUUUGAGGGGUUAAGGUGUAUAUAUGAAAAAGUUGAAGGACCAAUAGUGUAAAUAUUUUAAGAGUGGAAUGAUCUAGAAACUAAGGAGAAUGGAUGAAUUAGGACCAAAUUGAAUAGGUGAAGAACUAUGAGGGACUAAAUUGUAAUUUUACCAAAUUAAAUGAUGACUCAAGGAUGGAAUUUUAAAAGAUAAUAAAGGGAAAAAUGGUCAAUUGGAAGAGAAAGAAAUCUAGAAAGUAAUGAUGAUGUUGAUGAUAUUUUAUGAUUAUUUAAUUAGAUAUAUAUUAUUUUAAUGAGAUAUUUUAUUAUUUUAUUAUUAAUUAUUUAGUAUAAAAGGAAGGAAAGAUGAUUAAUUUUUAUUACUUUCCAUGCAUGCAACCAACGUUAGAAAAGAAGGAAAAGAAAGAAAUUUUCUUUUAUUUACAAUUUGGUCUUUCCACCAAAAAAUCACCAUUUUCACCUAGAAAUCAAAAGAAUUUCCAUAGCUACUAAGAGAGAAAAAUGUUAAGGAGACCAUGAGGAGUUAGAAUAUCAAGUUGGAUUCAAGAAAUAGAAGCUGGAGGAGAGAGAAAAUCAAGUUAAAGAUUAGUAUCAAUAGAACAAGGUAAGUAUAUCAAGAUUUCAAUAUGUUUUUAAGUUUGUUAUUAUUGACAAAGCAUGGAAAUAAUGUUAUAGUAGAGUUUUCUUACAUAAGAUCCUAUGUUCUUGAUAUCUUAGUGAAGAGAAAAUAAGAGAAAGUGGUGAGAAAUGGUGUAGAAAAAGAAAAUAAGGGUGUUAUAGCAUGGUAAUUAAUAUCUUGUACUAAAAUAGUUUUGGACAGCAGCAGUAGUCUAACUUUGAAAAAUCAUCAAAAAUUGUAGAAAUCUAAUUAUGGGAUGAAUAAAAUAUGAAAUUAAAUCUUAUUAAGUAUAGUUUCUUAUAGAAGAAAUGAUGUAAGCAAUGGAAUUGUAAAUCAUGAGAUAUGAUGAAUUUUGUGAGAUAGGGUCAGAAUGAUUUUAGGUUCCCCUGUUCUGACUUUGUAAAAUCAUAAAAAAUUGGAUAAAAUAAUUAGGGGCUUAAAUUUAUAUGUUUAGAAUUCUGAAUGAGUCUAUUUUCAAUAGAAACAAAUGAGAACAUCAUUCGUGUGACAACCCGAAUUAGGGCCUAAUCGAAAUAGUAGUUUCGUGACCACAAAUCUGAGAUAGAAAUAAUUGUUUUAUAAUUAUUUUUGGGUUUAUGAUAUGAUUUCAUGAUUUCGUGAAAAUUUCGUAAUGAAAUUCUGUGCAUUGCGCGCUUAAGUUGAAAUUAGGGACUAAAUCGAAUAAAUUGUAAAACUCGUGUUUUAGAAGUUUUUAUUAUGAAAUUGCUUUGGGAUAUUAACUAGGAGGUCUUAAAUAGAAAUUUGACCCAUUCUUAAGUUAUGGACAAAAGUUGGACAUGGAGGGAAUUUUUUUGAAAGUUUAGUAAUAAGGGCAUUUUGGUCAUUUGUAUAUUAAAUGAAAUAAAAUGGGAAAAAUAACACAAAUUUGGUUAUCAUCUUCAUUAGUUGCUGCCGAAAAUUGUUCUCCUCCGUAGCUAGGGUUUCUUCAACUUUCAAGCUUCAUAGUAAGUGAUUUCAAGCCUUGUUUUUAAUGUUCUUCACAUUUUUGAAAUCCUCAUAGCUCGGUUUACUUAUUUCUACCAUUAUUUCGAGUUAGGGUUUAUGUUUAAAAAUUUACCCAUGAAUGAUAGGCAUGUAUUUUGUUGUUUGAUGGUAGAAUAUGAAUGUUUGAAGUUAGGAGAACGAUCUUUUCUAAGCGAUUUUAACGAAAACGAGCAAAACGACAUAAUCGAUAAAAAUACCUAUUGUUUAUAACUAUGUGUUAGAGUGAGAAUUUGAUGUUUCCAUAGAAGAGAAAAAUGAUCAGUAGGUCAUUAAACAUAAGAAUAAAGGCUGAAAUUAAAUUUCUGAGCCUUAGGGCAAAAUCAUAAUUUUUAAAAGUUAGGGGACAAAAAUGUAAUUUUUGUAUAAUGUGAUUUUUGGAUUAAAAUAAAUAGUUCGAGUGUUAAAUGAGCUAAAUAUGUUGUUAUAGAUUAAGAAAGGCGUGGAAUUGACCUCGAACGGGGGAAGGAGAAAGUUUUAGACUAAAUUGUAAAAUUCCCAUAUUUUGCACCGAGGUAAGUUUGU
rnacentral:lncRNA from 1 species